rnacentral:lncRNA from 1 species
ACACGGCCACCUGUUACCUCCCACUAGCACAAGGUACUUACCUCCCAUAGGUAUGAGAUAACUCUGUCCACUAAGGCUUGGGCGCAUGGAAAGCCUUGGUAUCUGUUCAGCUCUAUUUGGGAUUUAAUGCCAUUGUUACUGCUAUUUUUUCUCGACUUUUGGCAUAUCAUUCGCAUCACUGUCAUAGCUACCUGGUAACUCUGUCCACUAAUACCUAAACAAAUGGGAAUCCCCGCUAUCUAUCAGCUCUAUUUCGGAUCAAUGUCACUAGUUCAUUGUAGGACUGAGCAUAAUACACCGGACCCCACACAUUACACGAUAGCUUUGGUUCAUCCAGCUACCCUUUUUUCGUGUUACUACUGUUUGUUUCUCUUCGACUUUGGGCAUAGUAAACAAUUUCACUAGUUCAUUAUAGGACUUGAGUAUAAUACACUAGAGCCCACACAUUACAUGAAAGCUUUAGUUCAUCCAGCUACCCUUUUUUUUUUCAAAUACAAAACAAUCAUACAACUCAAUCAUAACAUAAAUAACAAUGCAAAUAACCAGAAAGGUGGAUUGAUAAGGAACAUACCAUUUUUAAAGCGCCAAGGACCCUGACUGAAGGAUUUAUACUUAGCACACUUAACCACCUUCCCAUACACCAUAACGUGUAUUCGGUCGUUCAAAAAUCAAACUAUUUUUCACUAAUACAUGUCACUGCUAAUUUUUCACUAAUUAAAUGGGUACCUCCCACCAGCAUAAUGUACAUGCUAACUCCCGCCAGAACAGUUACCUGGCAACUCUGUCCGCAAAUACUUAAACAAAUGGGAAUCCUCGCUAUCUACCAGCUCUAUUUGGGAUUAAUGUUAUUGUUACUACUGUUCGUUUCUCUUCGAGUUUGGGCAUAGUAAACAAUGUCACUAGUUCAUCCAGCCACCCCUUUUUUGCACAAACAAAACAAUCAUACAGCUCAAUAAGGGGCGAAGCUACCCUUUGGCGAGGGGUUCCAAACCCCCCUUAGGCAAAAAAUUAUACUAUUUAUACAUGGUUAAAAUACUGACUUCGCCACUCAGCUCAAUCAUAACAUAACUAGCAAUGCAAAUAAUCAUAAGGGGAAUUGACAAGGAACGUACCAUUUUCAAAACACCAGGUACACCUGGUACUUUAACUGAAGAUUUAUACUUAGCACGCUUAACCACCUUCCCACCAUCCGCCAUAACUCCCGUUUGUUCUUUCGUUUCAACAAAAAUCAAACUAUUUUUUUCACUAAUUACAUCAAAAAAAAAAAACAUAAAAAUUAAUAAAGAGUAAAUAAAUAAAUAAAUAAAUAAAUUGAAAUUAGUAUAUCCAAAAAAAAAAAAAACAAUAAUAAUAAUAAUAGAAAUUAGUACCAUUUUAUGGAAGCUAGGGUUCCGAUGGAUGAAAUUUGGGAUUUUUAUCAGGAGAGAAGGCGCCAACUGUUGUUGAGAUCAAUUACCAUCUCAAAAAAGUGUAUAUACCUUUGUUCUCACUCUAUUAUAUAUAGAGAGAGAGACUGUAUAUAUAUAGAGAGAAAGAGAGUGAUUCUCACUAAGGCUUUGUUUGGGCAUGAAAAUAAUAAUUUGAAAAAAAAAAGCUCAAAUACGCCUUCUUCUUUUUUUCCAGCCGGUGUCCGAUUAACGCAUUAGAGCCCCGACUAAUUCGGAUCGCAUUGCAGGGCCCAUUAAAGUGUCUGUAUUGGAGCUCCGAUUAAUUCAGAUCAUGUGUUGCAGGGCCCAUUAAGUUUUUCAUAUUGAAACCUCGAUUAAUUUGGAUUGCGCGUUGCAGGGCCUAUUAAUGUGGCCGCACGGAGCUCCGAUUAAUCCGGAUCGCGCAUUGCAGGGCCCAUUAAGGUGACAGCCCCGAUUAAUCCGAAUCGCUCCGAUUAAUUCAGAUCGCACGUUGCAGGGCCCAUUAAAAUGGCAGCCCCGAUUAAUCCAAAUCGCGCGUUGCAUGGCCCAUUAAGGUGUCCGUAUUGGUUCCCCGACUAAUCUGGAUCGCGCAUUGUUGGGCCUAUUAAAGUAGCAGCAUGGAGCCCCGACUAAUCCCGAUCGCGCGUUACAGGGCCCAUUAAGGUGGCAGCAUAGAGCCCCGAUUAAUCCAGAUUGCGCAUUGCAGAGUCAAUUAAGGUGGCAGUACGGAGCCCCGACUAAUCCAUAUCGCAUGUUACAAGGCCCAUUAAGGUGGCAGUCCUGACUAAUUCGGAUCACGCAUUGCUGACCCAUUAAGGUGUCCGUAUUGGAGCCCCGACUAAUCUAGAUCGCGCGUUGCAGGGCCUAUUAAGGUGGCAGCACGGAGCCCCGACUAAUCCAGAUCGUGCAUUGCUGGGCCCAUUAAGGUGGCAGCGCUCCUAACAGAGUUUUCUCCAUACCAGAGUUGAACCCUCGACCUCUGAUUAAGGGUAGAGCAACUCCAUUCACUGCACCAUAACCCAUGUUAGUGGCUCAAAUACGCUAUCAAACUAUUAAAAAUAAUUUAUUUGUCACUCUUGCAUCAUUUUCUUUAAAAGUUUGACUUUCGUUACAAAAAGAUUUAUUUGUAUCGUUAUUUUGUAACAGUGAUUUUUAUAAAGUUAUUUUAUUUUAAUCAGUAUGAUUUUUUUAUCUUGAUUUAUGUAAUAUUGGUUGAUUUAAAUUUGAUGACGUGGAUUUUAGUAAGAGGUUGUGAAAUCAUCGUUGCAAAAUAAUGACACAAAUGAACAUAUCUAUAACAGCAGUGUCAUAGAUAAGCCAAAUUUUUAAAGGCGAUGGUAUAGAUGUGCCAAACUUAUAACGGGUGAUAUAGAUGGGCCAUUUCAAUAGUUUGAUGACACAUUUGAAUUUUUUCCCUGAUAAUUUUUCGGAAUUGAAGCUGGAGUUGUUGUUGUGUUUGAUCGUGAAUUUUGUAUCUAUAUGCAUCAGGAAUCCGAUUCACUGAUUUCUUGGUUCGAGAAAUCAAAAUAAGAGGCUCGAAUCAUUUUUUUCUUACUCUUUUUCAAAUUUGAUAAAUAUUGGUUGAUCAUAUAUUUCAUUAUAGUUCUAUGAUUCAAAGUAUCCUUUCCGAUUUGAUCUUUUUGUAUUUCAUAUUAGAAGUUGCAAUCAGAUCUAUUCAUUAAAAAGAAUCGAUUCAAUACAUUUCUUACAGGUACCUGGGAGCAUACUGAUGGAAUGAAUAAAAUACGAACAGUUAACAUAAUAUGGCCAUAGAUCUUAGGUCGUAUGGGAAUCGAUUCGAGAAAAAGAACCGAUCGUAUGGAAACCCUUCAAUCAGUUAUGCAGGGAUAUCCUGUAUCGUUGAAUAAACCACCCACUCUGCAUAGAUUAGGCAUACAUGCAUUCUAACCCAUUUUAGUAGAGGGACGCGCAAAAUUAUAACUGUUUUUUCAAAUUUUGUGCGAAAAAUAAGAGUGAAGAAAAGUGAAAACAAUUUUCACCGAGUGAAAUGUUUUUUACGGCUAGACAUAAUUAUUUUUACUUUUUCUACUAAAGUAAAAUAAUUUGCGAAAAAAUUCUCAUGGUGAAACGCCUAGUAAAGUUGCUCAAUAGUUAAUUUAAUUUAGGCCUAAUACAUAGUAUUUUCUUUUAAAUUAAAUUGAUUUCAACUUGCAUUUGUGUCCGUAACUUUCGAUGUGUAUAUAUAAGUAAUUAAAUUUGUAUAAAGUUAAACAAACAGAUACAUAUAUAUGUUAUGUUGCAUAUUACGCGACUAAUUCAUAUCUUAUAUGGUGUUUUAUGUGUAUUUUGCCACAUAAAAUAUCUGUGCUUAUUUGUUCAAUUUUUUAUGAGCGAAUCGUGCCAUUUGAACUGUUCAACAACAACAACAAAACGAAUGUAUUUCCACAUAAUGGAAUCUGGGUAGGGUGAAAUAUACGCAGUCCAUACCAUUAACUCCGGAGAAGAGAGAGUCUGUUUUCGGUCGACCCCGACAUGACUUGAAAUGUUCAAUUUUAGUUAUUUCAUCUCCAAAAAGGGAUAAAAAUAGCAUUACGAUCUCGAAAUGAAUUUUCAUGCAAUUUAUUCCAGCUAAAUAUAAAAUAAGCUCAUGUAAAAAUUAAUCCCGAGAUUUGUUAUACCACCGAACCAAACGACCCCUUAAGUUCAUACCAUAUAUAUAUAUAUAUAUCUCCAAACGUUACCAAUCCAAAUUCAAACACUUUCACAUAUCGUCGCUGUCGCCGUCGGACAUCAGAAGAUUCCGGUGACCGGCGGGAAGAAUUUGGCCGGAGAAAUUUGACAUCGGAAUUCGUGCAACACUUAGAACUGAAAAUAGUUGAAGAUGAAGAUCACUGUAAUGACUACUGAUGAACAAAUCGUCACUCUCGACGUCGAUCGCGACGAAUCUGUAAUUUUAAUUGAUUAAUUGAUUAAAAUUAAUUCAUUAUUAAUUGAUUAUUGUCAUAUUUAUUAUUUGUUUUUUUUAAGCUGUAUUUGUUUAUUGGAUCUUAAAUUUUGUGUUGCUUACAUGUUUGAUACAGGUAGAGAACCUGAAAGCUCUACUGGAAGUUGAGGUGAGCUGGAAUUCUUCAUUGGUUUUGUUUUACUAUGCUUUUGUAGCUUGUUGGAAUUUUGAUAGCAGAAUUUUAUUAUGGGUGUAUUUUUAUUUUUGUGAUAAUAGAAGAAAGUUAAGUGAACAGUUAAAAGUUUCAAAUUUUGAGUAGUAAAUGAGCUUGAAAUCGUCCAAGUCAAUGAAAGUUAUAUGCAAUAAUAAUAGAAGAAACUUUAAGUUGUUAUAAUGUUAUCUGGCCUAAGCUAAGCUGGGGUCUAUUGGAAACAACUUCUCUACUUCAUUUGAGGUGGUGGUAUGGAUUGCGUACACUUUACUCUCCUCAGACCCCAUUUUGUGGGAAUACACUGGUUAUGUUGUUGUUGUUGUUGUAGAAGAAGAAGAAACUUAAGUAAACAGUUGAAAGUUUCAAACUUAGAGUAGUAAAUGAGCUUGAAAUCAUCCAAGUCAAUGAAAGCUAUAUACAAUAAUAAUAGAAGAAACUUUAAGUUGUUAUACUUUUAUCUAUCCUGAGCUGGAAACAACCUCUCUACUUCAUCUGAGGUGGUGUUAUGGAUUGUGUACACUUUACUUUCCUCAGACCCCACUUUGUGGGAAUACAUUGGGUAUGUUGUUGUUGUUUUUGUAGUUCUAUCCUUGAUAGACAUAGGUACGUGGCAUAUCUAGUGGUGUAUUACCCCAUUUGGUUGUUUGUUUUCAUGUUUUUUGUUGGUUAUACUGCUAUUUGUCCUGAGUCGGGGUCAAUCGAAAACAAUCUCUUUACUUCAUUUGAGGUAGUGGUAUGGAGUGCGUACACUUUAUCCUCUCCAAACCCCAGACCCCACUUUGUGGGAAUACACUGGUAUGUUGUUGUAGAAGGAGAAGAAACUUAAGUAAACAGUUGAAAGUUUCAAGCUUUGAGCAGUAAAUGUGCUUGAAAUCAUCCAAGUCAAUGAAAGUUGUAUACAAUGAAGUUGUUAGGUUAGGAGGUUAGUUGUAGUAGUGCGUUGUCUUGCUAUCCAUCCAUAUGUGUGAAGUUGUAUAGUAUAAUGUAGUUAAUGGAGGGGGCGUCAAACGAUUUGGAAUAUUGGAUUAUAUAUAAACUUAUCGAAAAGGACAACUCGGUGCACUAUGUGCUCGCUAUGUUAGUUGGAAUUUCGAUAGUUGAUCAAGUUUUCUUUGAUCGGAAUUUCAUUAUGGGUGUAUUUAUAUUUGUGACAAUAGUAGAAACUUUAAGUAAAAAGUUGAAAGUUUCAAACUUUGAAUAGUAAAUGAGCUUGAAAUCGUCCAAGUCAAUGAAAGUUAUAUACAAUAAUAUUGUUAGGUUAGGAGGUUAGUAGGUAGUAGUGUGUUGUCUUGCUAUCAGUCCAUACGUGUGAAAGUUGUAUGGUUUAAUGUAGUUAAUGGAGGGGUGUCAAACGAUUUGGAAUAUUGGAUUAUAUAAACUUAUAGAAAGGACAACUCGGUGCACUAUGUGCUUGCUAUGUUGGUUGGAAUUUCGAUAACAGAAUUUCAUUAUGGGUGUACUAUAUUUGUGAUAAUAGAAGAAACUUAAGUAAACAAUUGAAAGUUUGAAACUUUGAGUAGCAAGCGAGCUUGAAGUCAUCCAAGUCAAUGAAAGUUAUAUACAGUAAUAUUGUUAGGCUAGGAGGUUAGUAGGUAGUAGUGCUUUGUCUUGCUAUCCGUCCACACGUGUGAAAGUUGUACAGUAACGGAAUGGUGUCAAAUGAUUUGGAAUAUUAGAUUAUAUAAACUUAUAGAAAAGGACAACUAGGUGCACUAUGUGCUUGCUAUGUUAGUUGGAAUUUUUCAUUGUCUCAUUUCAUAUUAGAUGGCGAAUAUGGUUGCAUUUGAAAGUUUCAGUUGAACAAUUGGAUGUUAGUUGAAUGUUACGUCAAAGUUUAGAAUAUGAGUAUAAAAUGAAUUUGAACUCUCCAAACUUGUGGAAGUUGUAUAGUAUAAUGUAGUUAAUGGAAUGGUCUCAAACGGUUUGAAAUAUUGGAUUACACUUAUAGAAGGACACCCCACUUGGUCUGACUAUACUGGGUAUGUUGUUGUUGUUGUUGUUAUAGUUGUUGUUGUAUUUAUAGAAAAGGACAGCUCGGUGCACUAAGCCCCGGCUAUAUGCAGGGUAUGGAGAUUGGCCGGACCAUAUUGGGUCUUAGGGAUCUCACUUAGGGGGUUCAAAAUAUGGAACAUAAACACAUGAAGAAGCCAAAGGGGGUUCAACCUACUAUAUAUACAUAAACAUUGAUUUUAACCAUGUAUAAACUGCGUAAUUUUCUGCCGAAGGGGGUCCAUCGCCCUUGAGCCUUAUCUUGCAUUUUUGCACGAGGCCUGAGACUCUGACCUCGGUGAUACUGUUGGUGACUUUUAGUGUUGAGCCAAGGCUUAGCUUAGAACAUAUGAAGUUUUAGUUGUGAUAUAAAUUGUGAUGGAGGCACUGUUGGCACUUACUUUUACAUUGGUUUUGUGUUUUUGUGUUGGACGAGAAGACACAAGUGCCUCUGCAGCAACAACAACUUCUGUACAAUGGGAGGGAAAUGAGGAAUUCUGACAAAUUGAGUGCGCUAGGCAUUGGUGAUGGAGAUUUGGUGAUGAUGGUGUCUAAUGCAGCAUCCCUGUCUAGGUGUGUUUUCUGCUGAUGUCUCAAGUUAUGUUUCAUUAUUUUAUCGGCUAUUUACUGUCCCAUGUUGUUCCCUUCCCCAUUACUCUGCCACAUCUUGCGAAUACAUCUUGUCUUUUGUCUUCUGCUAACAAUUAAAUGAAUGCAUUCCAGUGCACCUGCAAAUGAUUUGAGCUUCAAACAAGACGGGUCUGCAGCAAAUCCUUCAGCUUUCCAACAACACUUGCGAAAUGAUUCAAAUUUGAUGGCCCAACUUUUUCAGGUGGAGGAAUUUAGCUAUUUCCUUUCUUUUUGCUUUUGCUAAAACAUUUUAAGAAAGAAAUGAAGUUCUUAAAAGCAUAUUGUAUUAGUGCAAAAUUGCAAUUUUCAAAACAUGUACCUACUCAGAGUUUUUGAACUAGUUAGCAUCCGUACAUUUCCUAGCUGGUGAUUGUUAAAAGAAAAACUGCCCUUACAUAUGAUGUUAUCAUGAUCUUAUAGGUACGAUGAAGGAAUAGUCAUACGCCGAUUAGGAAGUUUCGUACUUAUUUAGUGGAUUCCUAUCAUACUUCGUAAUUUUGCUGGAUCAGUCUGAUUUUAAAAUGGUUGCUAAUUUGACUUGAUUGUGUUCUUACAUGCGCGGUGAAGGAUAAGUUAGAUUCUGAGAGGAAAUUUUCAUAUGCUUUAAUCUUUAUGAUGGAUUACUCUUAUACUGUGUUAUUUUUUGGAUCAAUUUGAUGUGAACAUGAUUGCUAUUAUUUGUGCUCUCCUCCGCUCCACCUUGUGGUUGGUUGCGAUCAAUUCAUAACACGGAGGUCCCAUGAGCUUGUAUAUGAUGUUUGAACUUGCAGAAUGAUCCUGAGUUAGCACAAGCUGUCCUUGGGAAUGACUUAAAUAGGCUGCAAGAGCUUCUACGUUUGCGUCAUCAGCAUAAAUCAGUGCUACGGCGUCGUCAAGAGGAGGAGAUGGUCAGGAGCUUCUAUUGCUAAAUUACCGUCUUUUCUUCUGUAUGCUUUAAUGUACUCCACAAUUUUGAAAGUCCCAUUAGUGAUUGCUUUACAACUUCUUGCCAAAAGAUCAUAGGAACUAAUGAUUGUGCUAAAAGAUCAUAGGAACUAAUGCCAGUGAUCUGCUGUAAAGAAGAGUAGAAUUUUGAAAUUCCCUUAUGCCGCAAUUUGGAAGCAUUCAUUCUGUAAUGUAUCAUGCAAUAUCUACUAAGGAUGUGACCUUAGGGUUUACCACAGGCUUUUGAAGGUGUUUCCCAGAGCUAUAUAGUCAGCUUUUACAGUAUAUUUUGGCCAUCUGAUGCUUUGCCCCUAGCUUAUAUGAAGUCGGCAGGACUGCUCAGAAUUUCUCAACCGUUUGAUUUAAAUUUUUCUUAGUUUAACUUUCUAUAGAUAUUUGAUUUGUUAUCUUUUUGUUUCCUUCGGUGCUCACCUAGGUACUCAUUAAGCGGGCUAGAUAAAGAAGUUUCAUACAGCCAACCCAACUAAUUCGGGAAUGAGGCAUAGUUGAUUGAUUGAUAUUCAUUGAUUAAUAUAAAUUUAUGUUGAAUCGUAGGCACUGCUGUAUGCUGAUCCAUUCGAUGUCGAGGCACAAAAGAAAAUUGAAGAGGCAAUUCGCCAGGUUAGCUGGCAUAUCAAUCUACAUUGUCAUUAUAGAAUGUUUUUGAAACUGAGGUGUACUGGCCAAUUUUUUUAGACUGCUUCAAGUUAUUAUCAGUUAAGCACCGUAGCUCCUUUGUAUACAUUCUUUAAUUUUAAUAUGCUUAUUUUACUUGAAUGGACCAUAAACAGCCAUGCUUUUCCUCCUUCCUUCUAUUUUUCUGGGAAAACGAUCUAGCUCCUAUUUAAGCAUGAUUUACCACUGUUUAGAUAAAUGUUAUGGCAAAUAUAUGAAAGCGGUUAACUUCUUCACAGGGACGUUUAUUAUUUGAUCAAAUAUCGAUUUUACUAUGUUAACUAACUUUUAUACUAAGUCACUCUAAUUAUCAACUAAUGACGUUAAAAUAAACUGUAUACCUUCCUGUGAGCUUCUCUUCCAACAGCUCUAGUAUGCUGAAUAUUGAAAUAUUGUUUGGAUCAUCAUUCGACCAACCUAUAAAUCAUCGGUAGCCUUUGCUUGUUGGAUUUUGAUAGGGACUCUGGAACUUGUAGUUGAUUUGAUUGAUUAAUAUAUGUAGAAGUUUCAUCCAUCUCAAAAUAACAUAUGUAGAAGAUUCACAUAGCCAAUCCCAACUAAUUUGGGAUUGGACCUAAUUGAUUGAUUGCUAGAGUCUUUGGAGCUUGUCCUGGAUCAUCCGUACUCUCUUUGCAGAUUAUAUUGCCGUAAAAUGGCGUAACUUUUGUAUAGCCAGCCAGUCAUUUUUUAUAAGCUCAAAUGCCAUAUCUUGUAAUUCUUGCACCUUCUUGAUGACUUUAUUAAUACCAAAUCAUCAAAAAAGUAAAAUGGUAUAAUCAUAAAGUCUUGCCAAAUGUUUCUCCGUCUACUAUAUAUUAGUUUUUUCUUUUAUUCGGUGGUGUCUUUCUUCGGAAACUUCUCUUUUGAGCCGAGGGUCUACCGGAAACAACCUCCCUACCCCACAAAGGUAGGGGUAAGGUCUGUACAUCGUACCGUCCUUGUCCCCCACUUGUGGGAAUACACUGUAUGUUGUUGUUUUAUGCAAUGGAAGUUGGGUCUAGUUGUGUUAGAGCUUUUCCAUGUUUUGCAUAUUUUCCAGAAAGGAAUUGAAGAAAACUGGGAAGCUGCGUUGGAACACAAUCCUGAAGCUUUUGGCACUGUGGUAUGUAAAACUACCUUGUGCCUUUCAAAGUUUGAUUUUCUCUGUGGUUUUAAUGAAGCUGGGUAACUUUUUGGCUUAUUCAGAUUAUGUUAUAUGUUGACAUGGAAGUAAAUGGUCAUCCUCUAAAGGUAGGGAUUUUGUUUUUGAUUUGAAUGUGUUCCAUCUUCUUGGUAAAUCUUGUUACAUUUGGUUCAGUGGGAUAUUUUGUUUCUCUUUGCUUUAGGCUUUUGUGGAUAGUGGAGCUCAAUCCACAAUUAUAUCUAAAAGCUGUGCAGAACGUUGUGGGUAUGAUUUCUGAGGCUGUGCUGUAUUUUUGAUAGUAACUUGUAUUUGGUUAGCAAAAAUGAUUAUUAUAUAGCAAGCUCGUACCUUUCUUUCUUAAAAAAUAAAAUUAAAUUGCAAGCACAUUGAUUGAUGAGUAGUUUUAGUCAGAGAUAUAUUUUUACCUUGUAAAAAAAAAGGUCAGGGAGACGAGAAGAGUUCCUUUUUUUUUUAAAUAAAAUAAAAUUUAAUUGAAGUAUAUUGUUCAAAAAUUCAGAUUCUAGAUUGACAGAAGAAUAGCAAUAGACAAAUUAAGAAUUCAAUGUGAAUUAUAGAAGCACAUCGUGCAGAAUCUUCAACUCCUGCUGUAGACUGUUUGGCAUUAAGACUGCAUGCUUUUCAUCGACAUGCUAUAGUGUCUCAAGGUUAAUCUAAAAAAAUUUUAGUUCUGAAGUUCAUAGUUGCUUACUUAUUGUAUGAAACACACUACACACCUAUAUUAUAAUGUUCCUAAUUCAUAUCCCUUUUCUAACUUAUAAGAUAUUAGAACUACCUUUAAAAUUCCUUAACAAGCCAGGAGGCAGGGGGUAUCCAUUAGCUUGAUGACGGGGUUGAGUGAAUAACUAACAAGUAAAAGUCUAGGGUAGAUGGGUGGACCCAUCAUCCGCAGAGUUUUAAGCCGUAUGCCACUGAUCUUUGGGGAUUUCUUGGUUAUCAAACAGUAGAAGUUUAUAGGGCAAUACAUUACUCCGUUUGACAUUCAGAUUUUUGGUUUUGUUUACUGUAGAAUAAUGUAGUAAUGAAUGUAGCUGGUGUUUGUUGCUGUUUAUUCUUUUCCAAACUAUCACUGUUGACCCCUUCUCUCGCAGAUUGUUGAGGUUACUAGAUACACGCUACAAGGGCAUUGCUCGUGGAGUUGGUCAAACAGAGAUACUAGGUCGUAUUCAUGUUGCUCCAAUCAAGGUUUGUUGCGUCCUUGGAGCUUAUGAGCUACUUCAGUCUUGUGUGUGUACUUCAAGUGCAUUGACAGUAUACAAUAGAUGCAGCUGUUUUUUACCAUAAAUAGUUGAUACAGCUGUUUUACCGAUGAAUCCUUUUUAUUUUCUCAUGCACUGCCCAGAAAUUAAAUAGAUUGCUGGGUGGUUAAAUUCUGCUUCUGUCAAAUGCUUUCCAUAUCCUAUUCUCAGUUUCGCUAUUACUGUACUAUGUCUUACUAAUGUUCAAUUUUGUCUGGGUUCCUGAUGCUAACUAUCCUUUCUAUGGUUAGCAGUUUAAAUCAUAAAUUAGUUACACACUAACCUUUAUGCACAACUUAUAGCUAUACAUAAUAGUCAAUAACACCCAAGGGUGUGGCCUAGUGGUUCAAUGAAGUUGGGAUGAGUACCAUGAGGUUUCAGGUUCAAUUCCCAUUCCCAGCAGAGACAAACACUAGGUGAUUUCUUCCCAUCUGUUCUAGCAUUGGUGGAUAGAGUUACCUGGUACCUUAUGCUGGGAGGUGGCAGGUAUCCCGUGGAUUUAGUCGAGGUGCUCACAAGGUGGCCCGGACACCACGGGUAUCAAAAAAAAAAAAAAUAGUCAAAUAAUUAAUAAUCUGUCAGUUGCAAUUUGUAAGUAGUUUUAACUUGCUGGCUCUUUGCUUUAAAUCAAUUUUUCCGAUGACUUGUCCCAGUAGUCAGUUGGUGAUAAUUACUUGUUCUAGUCAUGACACAUGAGGAUUAAGUUGUCCAACCAGCCACAUGUGACAUUUGUUUUAGUGAACGGAAGCUUUGGAAUUAACGAGAAGCUGUGGAUAUGCUGCCUUCAAAUUAAUGAUAAGUUCCUAGAGAUGCCCUGUUAACAUGUUUGACUUCAAUUUGCUACUCUUAACUAUGGCAGAUUGGAAACAAUUUUUACCCUUGUUCUUUUGUGGUGCUGGAUUCUCCGAAUAUGGAAUUUCUAUUUGGACUUGAUAUGCUUCGCAAGCACCAGGUUUACUUUCUUGCCUUGCUCGUAACAUUUUUUCCAUUUUUGUUUCCUUUUUAAUACAUAUUAUAAGCUAAUGGUAAUGAGUUUUUGCAGUGCAUGAUUGAUCUGAAGGACAAUGUUCUGAGAGUUGGCGGAGGGGAAGUUGCUGUACCAUUUCUACAUGGUUGGUGAUGCUCCUGGUUACCUUGAUACUGGAUAGUACUACUUUUGAGCUUUUACCAAGUUUUUUGUACUUCAAAUUUCAGAGAAGGACAUUCCCGGUCAUUUUCUUGAUGAGGAGAGGCACGCCAAGGAGGCUUCGAGCUCAGGAGCCCAGGUAAAGGCAUUUUUUUUAAAUAAAAAUAUUUUUUCUGAAUUUAACAUUAGCGUCUUUCUUUUUUUUCCUCUGGAAGUAUGUAGUGGGCAUGUAGUUUAAUGUGAGCAGUUAAUGAACAAAAAAAUUGAUCUAUUUCAAGAGCUAAUGUUGUACAAAUUUGAGUGCACUUGACGCCAUAAAAGAUAAAGUUGAUUGUGAAAUUAAUGGAAUCAUUGAUGAAAUGAUUGAAGUUGGCCUCUUUCUUUUUUACAAUUACGACAUUCUUGAUGAAAUUUUCUUUAUUUUCUGGGGUUGCUUUCGCCGGUUUGCUCCAAGGCCGGUGCAGUUACGUUAUGCUGCACUUUAUAAAUCUUCAAGAUUGUUUAGCCCUUUCAUAAUCUGUUAUAUCAUCGUUUUCCUCUGAUAUUCAAAUCAGAAAUUUUGACCUUCUACGAGCAGUGCUAAACUUGGUUCUUUCCUUGUUGUAUCAGGCAACAUCUGGAGCAACGGAGAAGACUGAUCCUACAAAAGGAGGUCCUUCUGGUUAGCUUCAAUAUCCAAAUAUAAUUGUGAUAUUCCACCUAGAUCGUUGCAACUUUUUCUCCGUCAGUUUCAACUGUUAUUCUGCACCCAGGGAUUCAGAUUCUUUAAGAUUAUUUGCUUAAUAUAAUCUAGGAAAUCAUGUUGACAUGCAGUUCUCUUUCUUCUUGCUUACGGUUGUUUCCACAGCUAUCUUUAUUGAGAUAAGCAUCUAGUACCCCCUCGAACUAUGACCAAAGUUUCUACGACACACUCCAACUUCACAGGGGUCCUAUUACCCCCUAACUCAAUUUUAGCGUAUUUUUGUCACCCGUUCGUGCUGACGUGACACCUUUAUUACAUAAAAUGGGGCCCACGUCAAAGGUGCUACGUCAAAAUGGUUGACAAAAGGUGCUACGACAACACAAAAAUAAGCUAAAAUUGAGUUUGGGGUUACUCAUCUUUAUUUUCUGUCUUCUGAAUUGCAUUUACUUAUGAUUCAACAUUGUCUUGAUCCACAGGAGGUGCCCGUGGGAACUUGACACAGGUAAAUUUGUGCAGCGCGUAAAUUUUCUUGUUCCUUUGUGAACAAAUAUGAACCUCAGUAGAAGAACAAUUCAAACUUGGAAUCGAUGUUUUAUGUGCAGGGACCUGAAUUCGAAGCCAAAGUUGCUAAGCUUGUCGAGUUAGGCUUUGGACGGGAUGCAGUAAUACAAGCUCUGAAGUUUUUCGAUGGUAACGAAGAACAAGCAGCCGGAUAUCUAUUUGGGGGUUAAUUAUAUCCCUUUCCUAUCAUAGAAUUAAGAUUUGUGACUUUAAAAUUUUCAGACUAAACAUUUUUUAUUGUUGAGAUUAAGUUAAGUCUUCCUACCAUUGCAUUCAAAUUUGUCUUUGAAAUUGUAUUUGGUGGACACAAAAUUAACCUUGAAACUCAAGGUGAAUUAUUUGGUUCUGUGGUUGUUUGGGUGUUAUAUUAAACUUAAUGCAUGGUAGUAAAUGAGCAUUUACACUUCAAUUUUUCAUAUUUGUACUUUUUAAGUAGGUUAAUUUUAUCACAUAUUGCACACAUUUGUUUCUUGUCCUUUUACUAUUUCUUAUCUAAAUUGUUUUAUUUUGAGCCGGAGGUCUAUCGGAAACCUCCUCUCGAUCUCACAUCUGAGGUAGUGGCACGGACUGCAUACACUUACCCUCCCCAGAUCCCACUUGGUGGGAAUAUAUUGGGUAUGUUGUUGUUGUUGUGCACGGAUUGCAUAUACUUACCUUCCUCAGGCCUCACUUGGUGGGAAUAUACCGGAUACGUUGUUGUAUUGCACAUAUCUUUCCGUAAGAUACACACUUAUUUUGCCAAUUGUUAGCAGCUUUCUGCUGUUAUCCUGAAUUAUGAAUAACUGCAGUAGUAGUAAUCUAAACCAAUAUAGAAGUUCCAAGAUAUGCAAUAGUUUUACCCCCAAUGAUCCAUUACUAUUUUGUUGUCGUUAUUUUCCUUUCUAUCGUAUUUUCUUACGCUUCUUUUGAGCCAAAAGUCUAUUGAAAAUAGCCUUUACCUUACAAAGGUAGGGUAAAAUUUGUAUACGACCCUAUCCUUUGAAAACCCCACUUGUGGGAUGAUGUUACGCACGAUUGAUUCAUGAGGAAAAAGAAAAAAGGACAACCCGGUGCACUAAUCCUCCUGUCAUGCGCGGGCGGGGUGCACUAAUGCUGGGGUCCAGGAUGCAUGAUAUUGAUACAAUGCAUAUCAUUCAUGAGCAAAAGAAAAGGACAGCUCGGUGCACUAAUCCUCUUGUUAUGCAUGGGGUGCACUAAUGCUCCUGCUAUGCAAUGGGGUCCAGGGUGUAAUUAUACCCGUCUUCGAGGAGAAAAACUAGUGCAACUCAAAUGUAAAAUAAGUUUGAAGAUUGCAUUUCUAAGGCAACUAUAGUCAGAAUACAAAUUUUGAAAUGUCCAAAGCUAUGAACACAUUAUUGAUUGUUUAAUCAUCCUCAACUGGCUCUCUUUUCUUCCUCAUGAGCUCUCUCCUGCGAUUCAGAGAUGGAACGCGACCACCAAUAUUCAUCAUGAGCUCUCUCGCGCGAUGGAGAGAUGGAACACGAUCACCAAUAUUCAAUGUUUCAGUCAUCAUCUGUACCGAAAUACCUGUCACCAAACUCUCCCAUUCCAGGGAUAACACGAAAUUCUUCGUUCAAACCAUUUUCUAUCUCAGAUGUCACAAUCUUUAUUCUUGGAAAACGCUUACACACCACGUGUACUCCUUGGGGCGCCUAGUUUGAGAACAACACAAGUUAUGAUUCCGGCAUUAUGUUGCAACAGAAGAUCUGCUUGUUUACGCGUUAAACAGGCAGCCAGGUGCGCUAAAGCUCUCGCUAUGCGGGGGGGUCUAUUCUACGCAGCCGCCUUACCCUGCAUUUAUGCAAAAGGCUGUUUCCACGGCUUGAACCCUGUGACCUUUUGUCACAUGGCAGCAACUUUACCAGUUAUGCCAAGGCUCCCCUUCUUGUUAUGCGCAAUGAGUGGAUGUAAAGAGAAUCAAACCCAACAAUUGGAUGAGCCAGUAAACUUACAGAGAUAAGAUUAAGGAAUAAAAUGUUGGACUCUGGGACUCCCUUCUUUAACAGUAAAGAAAUAGCUUGAACUGCUGAAUUCCCUGCAGAUUGUUACAUAAUAGGCUCAGUUAUGCAAUCGUUUAAAAGGGCAGCCCGGUGCACUAAAGCUCCCGCUAUGCGCAGGGUCCAGGGAAGGGCCCCACCACGAGGGUGUUUCCAGGCUUGAACCAGUGACCGUAUGGUCACAUGGCAGCAACUUUACCAGUUACUCAAAGGUUACGCAAUCGUUUGUCAAGAAAAUUUUAAAAUGCUUGAUGAUGUAAUGCAGAAGUUAGAGGUCGAGGGCGUUCGUGAAAAUAGACUAACCUGUGCCAAGGAUAGGAUCUAACAAAAGGACAUGCCUUUGUGCAAUAUCUUCUGGUAGUUUUUCAUAGAUCAGCUGCACCAUUAUUCAUGCCAUUAAUGAGAGAAAUCGAAUGCUAAUAUAAUGAUUCGGGGGGGCAAAGAGAUCGCUAACCUGCUGGCCGUUGUCACCUUCUCUGUGGAUAAGAAUCUUGCCUAUCUUGAUACCUUUACAACAUGCACGCAACGCGUUCUCCAUGCUCUCUCCACUGCACAAAUUAGGAACUCGUAUGGCUAGUAAAGAGAACGUUGCAAUGACGAAAUCUACUUUUGAAGGCAGAUAAGAAGCAACCACGGUCACUUCUAAGGUAAACAACAUAUCUAGUGUAAUCCCACAAAAGGAGGUUGUUUUCGAUAGACGCCCGGCUCAAGUAAAGCAUAUCAAAAUCAAGUAUCAAAAGGAACUACAAUCGCGAAGAAGCAAUGCUGAAAUUGUCACUUCUAAGGUACCAAGUGAGGCGAACAGUAAUUACCUUCUAAUUACAGAGACACCACAUAACCUCUUGCAGAAAUCUACACCACUGUAUACCGAUCCUGCAGUCAACAGAGGUGAGUUUAUUUAGGUACAUUUUUCAUGUUCGAGGACGGCAAGAAGAGCUAAGCCUAUGAGUAAACAUGAACAGAAGAAACUCUGAAUCAAAUGACGAUAUUGUCUAUAGUUCACGAGGACCUCGUUCCAUGCGAGUCUUGUCAGAUCAGUAUCGUAAUGAGUGAUAGCACAACAUUCUAUAUGAAGAGUUGGAAAAAAGUGAGACAACAAUAGCAUUUAGCCUGGUCCAUACACCUAAUAUAGACCGAACUUACCAAAUAGGCUACGACAAUAGAAGAAAUCAAAACAUUUCCGAGCACAAGUCAUGAGUAUUGCGUCAUGGGGAUAGCGCUUACCGGUUGGAGUGAUCACCUGUUUUUCUGUAAAUGGCAGAUGUCCUAGUCCAUGCUCAACAACCUGGUAAAGUGAGGCAUAGAUAAGGGAAAACAAAGAUUUGGACUUCUCGCGUUAAAAACUUAACUUGAUUACCGUGUAAGAAAGGGAAACUUACCAAACGAAUCAAUCUAUCAGCAUAAAACACAAAAUCAUGCUUUGUCGUCUGUGCAUCGCGGAUAAGUGUAUGCAUGCCGCGUAUCUAAAUGGAACAAAUAACAAUCAUUAGAACAAAAUAAAAGCUUGAUCUUGAAGAACAUGAAAAUGACUUCAAGAUGAAGCUUAAACAGUUGGGGACUAGAACAUAUCGACGAACAAGAUGGAAAUAGCACCUGGAAAGUAGAUUGAAUAACAUAUAAGUUAGGGUAUAUUUUACAAAGAUUAUUUUGACCAAGUUUCGUCCUAAUAUGUUGCACAAUCAAAUCGAUCGCAACAUGGUUGUCUCCACCCCGGGGAAUGAUAAUGUCAGCAUACUUCUUUGUUGGAAGAAUGAAGUCAUCAAAAGCCGGUUUGACAAACUUGGAAUACUGCACAAACAUUACAUUACGUUAGUCUUGAAAAGCAAACAAAUUACAUAAAGAAUUAUGCUGAAUUUUGGGCAAGUCGUCAGUUUUGAAAAGGCCUUGUUAGAACCUUCCGUCGAGAACAGAAUCCAGGUGCAUGCACAGACAUGAAGCGGGCAAAAAGUUAGCUCACAAAUUCUUUCAAAAAACAUAUAAAGCUCAGCUAACCUGAUCUAGUACUGUAGCAAUAUCUCUAUUCUUUUCAACAGUGUCUCGUCUUAUCCUCCUUGCAAGGCGUACAUCAGCAUCUGCGCUGAAAAUUUUAAAUUAUGAAGCCACAAAAGCAGAAGAUUCACCAUAGAUGUCCGUCGACAUGGAAUGGAACAACAAGCAGAAGCAAUAUCCUUGUGAUUAAGACUAACCGGCAAAUCGAACAAUAGGAAGAGCUGACAACAAUUGUAAAAACAAACGCUGCGAAGAAAUAAGUAAAAUCACUCCAAUGAUCCGCUUCAAUGUGGAUUUGGUGCUUCUACACAUACAUCCGUGUAGCAUAGCAGUAUUCCGAUUGCUAGAUUCUUUUUUUCUUCUCGAUAAAUCUAAUGUUGUCUAGACAAAUAAAGGACUGGAACAAAAAUUCAGUUAGUGUUUGAAGUUCGGUGAGCCGGGGGUCUAUCUGAAACAGCCCCUCUACUUCUUCGGAGGUGGUGGUAUGGACUGCGUACAUUUUACCCUCUCCAGACCCCACUAGGUGGGAAUACACUGGGUAUGUUGUUGUUGUUUGAAGUUCGGUUUUAUCAUUUUUAGGUGAAAUAAUUGAAAAGAACAAGAUGCACGAAAGAAAAAAAUCCGGAUGAGAUAAUGACUAUGGCACCCUAUUCUUUUAAUAUCACAGAUAGAAGUCGAUGAAGGACAGAACUCAUGCCAACAGGGAGACAAAGCAGUAAUAUAAUACAAGAGAUAUAAAGAUAUAUCAAAGAAAGGAGAGGAAAGAACCUGUAUCUACAAAUAUCUUCAUACUCAUCAGAUCUCGGACACGAGGAUCAUGAAAAAUGAGUAUGCCUUCCAAAAUUAUAACAUCCGAAGGAUUGACCUACCAAGUUAAGUCAGAGUGGUCAGUGACACAUAAUAAAAAAAAAAAAAUUAGACGCAGGCAGUAGGUUUCCACACGCCUAUCUUAAUAAUCUAUCGAGAAGAGUGUCUAUGUUCCAAAUCAUUGGAAUGUUAUCUUUCUCCUUUUCCUCCUUGUUUUCCCUUGGAGGCAGGUUUGGAUCACAGAUAAAAAAUGUUCAAAAGAUGGACGACGUAAAGUGACAUACUCUUAAAAGGAAUUGGAUUGAUAUCGAUGUAACAGUACAAGCUGAAACGAUAUAAAAAUAAGAGGAAAACACCAUGCUAUAUAAGACAUUACCCUUCGAAGAGGGAAUACGUCAUUCUUGUAACUCUUAAAAUCAUACUUUGGAACAUCCACAGCUUGCCCAUGCUUCAAUUUCUCCAUCACACACAACAGUUGCUCAGUGUCAAAUGCAUCUGAAUACGACGCACAAUAAUUAGAAAGAAGAAAAAAAACGAUGCACAAUAAUUAGAAAGAAGAAAAAAAGUUAGCACAUAGAAACUAAGAAGAAAAGCACAUAGAAACUAAGAAGAAAAAAAACGAUGCACAAUAAUUAGAAAGCAGAAAAAAAGUUAGCACAUAGAAACUAAGUACAUGUCUCUUUAUUAAGUGAUUCCAUGGAGUUAACACUUCUGUGAAAACAAGUAUUAAUUGUUCAAAUCCUUAUUAACCGAUUUCACGGAGUUAAUAUGAUCUAUCGGCAACUGUGAGAAUGAUAAUAUAGAUAACUGUCGAUACUUCACGAUAGAAAAUGAUUUCUUUGUUUCUCUAAGGAAUGAAGAAAUAAACAGUUUUACCUGUGUAUUCAAUGCAAGAGUAUAAAGAACGAGACUAACCAGGAUGGUCAAAGUUGUACUCGUGAACUUUUGUGAGUUCUUCUAGAGUCAAAUUGUGAUAAAAAGAAUCCUGCCAAUUGAAACACACGUCAGAGAAAUCAGCGUUCGGGUUUGGCAGGCUAUAUGCCAUUUCCCCCAAAAUUAAGACAAAUAUAAAGCAAGGACACACUGAAAAGUAGUGCAAGACAGACAAAUAUCUACACUCGGUGAUUUUUAUGACCACAACUUCAGCAAUGAAACAUGUCAGAUGAAGCUUUAGACGUGUCCUGUAAAAGAACUCUUUAUACUGAACUUCACAUGUAAAAGCUCAGAUCCACGAGUCAAUCAAAUCUGGAAUAUGGAAUAGGACCCCAGGUGAAGUAGCUGUAAUAAGCAAAGAGUGAAUGCUUAUCACUUAUAUGUGUCCCCGGGCCUUAGCUCACUUGGCAAAGGUUGAGGGACUUUGUGAAUAGGGUCACGGGUUCGAGCUCUACGCCAAGCGAACCAAGACUAGUAUUCAAGUGGAGAACGGUAGAGGAUUGGGUCCAUCGCUUCCUAGUUUCAAAGGUUGUGGUUGGUCUUAAGGGCAUUAGAGAAAAAAUCUAAAAACGAAUAGAAAAAGAACUAUGCUGUCAGUCAAAUUUAGAGUGAUGAAAGGUGUUUUUUUUUUCACUAUGAAGAAAACUUGCCUGGUUAACUAGGACAACACGCUGAUCGUGAAGCUGAUCAAUAAUCAAAUCGCAAACUGUAGUCUUGCCCGAUGCAGCACCUCCAGCAACUCCUGCAGGGAAAACGGUUCAUACGGGCAUGGAUUAAGAGAACACUAAGAGAGCUGGAAUGAUUCAAAAAGAUAACAAUCAUGAUAGAUGCAAACACAAUUGGCAUUACGGUCUUGAAUAGCAUGAAAGUUCAAUCAGUCCAAAGUUUAAGUUUCACUACUGUAGCAAUGUUACAUGAACUGCUCCCACAUUAGGCAAUAAUCCCAAGAGAUCUCCUCAUGCCAAAUCGACAAACUGCUAUUUUGACCAAACGACAGACAACAAAUUCAGAGCAUAUGCUUCCAGAGUUCCAGUAAAUGCUGAACUAACUCCACUAAGAUGAGAUACAAAAUCAUUGCAACGGGCAAGAGAUGGAUCGGGCACAAAAAUCAAUCCAGGCUUUAGUAAGCUUGGUCUGGAUAUCUACGUCAAACAACUAACUGAAAUAAUUUUAAUGCAAGCUCAAUGAUUUCCUUUCCAUCACCAAAUUCAACAUCAUAAUUUUCUCAUCCAAUGUGAUCAAGCAUAUGCAUGUAUAACUUUACUAAGUAUUAAAGAUGCAAGAGCCAUUAGCAUCUGCCGAAAAUGAUUUGAAUGAUGACAGCAAUUAAUCGUUCUGCAUAUAUUUGUGAUAAAGAGAUUGAGUAUCUGUCCUUAGUUUCAGAAGGUAAAAGUAUCGUGUACACUGAGAUUCAUCAAACAUAAGGGUGCGAGGAACAAUUCGGUGAUUUAUCUCCUUCUAUGAUUAAGCAAAGCACGAUAGCCUCGAAAGUACAGUUAGUUUAGAAAAAGCUCAAGCAACAGCACGAGAUAUAUUACCGCCUCCACAUACCUAUGACAAACGGUUGCUUAACACUUCCAUCUAUAGAAGUUGUUGGUUGAUCAAUCUCUGAAGUAUGUGACUCUUCUAAAUGAAAUCCGGAAUAAUGUACUCCGGAUGACGCCUCUAACAAAUCUUCAACUGCUUUUGAACCCAUUUAUAAAUUGUAGGCUCUGCAUUUACGUAACAAUCAGCUGAUGGAAUAAAAGCGUACAGAAGAUUAUACCAACAACAUAAAAUAGUCAUCCAGAUGGUAACUGACAUACUCCCGAAAAAUUUAACCUUUCCUUUCAAGUGAGAUCUUCUCCAACAUAACUCAAAAUAGUAAAGUCCAUAAUUCAUGAUUCCUCGACUUAGAUACAGCUGUUUAUACUUUUUGGCACUAUGCUUUAAGAUGCAAAACGUCUACGAUACUAACACAUUUCGUGUUUUCUUCAGUUCCAGAUUUAUAAAUCGCUACUAAGCUUUUAGUUGUACAAAUGAUCACCCAGAAAAACAACAAUAACAACACGUCAGUCCCAAAUGAUCACCUAGAAUCUUGAAAAUUUAAUAUAGUGCAUCUCAGCAGCUAAAAAUAUGAAAAUAAUUGCUCCUUUGCUGCAACCAAAUCAAGGUUUCACAACUUCGUACAUGCCCUAAUAAAUUAAUAAAAGAAUCUCUCUAAAUCUUAACUACUAUGUAUUCACGACUCCGCUGUAUCAUAGUUCAAUCCUAAGUUGCUCCGACUCUUUUGAAAUUGCCGCACCCGUGUCGGAUCCUUCAAAAAUGCACUAUUUUUGAAGGAUCCGGCAAGCACCAGAUUACACUUUUGAAGAGACCGAGCAACAUAGAUUCAAACAUCCUCAACUUAAAUACAAACGGUCACCAUAGUGCUAAAAAAUUAAUUCAGCAUCUCGGCAGCUAAAAAGUAUGGAAAGAUUGCUCCUUUGCAGCAACCAAAUCAAGGAUUCACAAAUUCUUACAUGUCCUAGUAAAUCGAUAAAAGAAACUUAUCUAAAUCCUAACCACCGCAUAUUCACGACUCUGCUGUAUCCUAGUUCAAACAUCCUCAAAUUGAGUACAAAGGUCAAAGGGUCACCACAAUGCUGAAAAACUAAUUCAGCGUCUUAGCAGCUAAAAGAGUACUAAACAGAUUACUCCUUUGCUGCAAUCAAUCAAGGUUUCACAAAUUCAUACGUGUCCUAGAAAAUUGAUAAAAGAAUCUCUCUAAAUCCUAACUACUACAUGGUCCAAACAUCCUCUAAUUGAGUACAAACGAUCACCGGCAAUGCUGCAAAAUUAAUUCAGCGUCUCAGCAGCUAAAAAUUAUGAAAAAGAUUGCUCCUUUCAUACAACCAAAUCAACCCCUCAUGAGGGCCCUUAGAGUAGGAGAAGUAGGGGGACCAUAAGAAUUAAUAAAUAGCAAUAAAGAUUCUACCUGUUUAACUACUACAACACUUGCAACAAUAACAACAUAACUACUGUAAUCCAACAAGUGGGCAUUUGGGAGCGUAGAAUGUACGCAGACCUUACCCCUACUGCAAAAGUAGAGAGAGGUUGUUUCCGAUAGACCCUCGGCACUUACAACAACAACAUAAAAGGACAGCCCAGCGAACUAAAGCUCCCGCUAUGCGCAGGGUCUGAGGAAGAGCCCCACCACAAAGGUGUUUUGUACACAGCCUUACCUUGCAUUUCUGCAAGAGGCUGUUUCCAAGGCUUGAACCCGUGACCUCGUGGUUACUCCAUAGCUCCCCUUCAACAACAACAACAACAUAUCUAAUGUAAUCCUGCAAGUGGGGUCUUGAGCAAGUAGGAUGUACGCAGACCUUACCUUAACCUUUGCAGGGUAAAGAGACCGUUUUCGGUAGACGCUCAGCUCAAAAGAAAUGUAAACAAUACAGGACUACUUCAACACUUAAACAUAACAAAAAAACAUUAAUUUAUCACAAAUAAAAAGAAUCCCAAAAUCAAAUCUUUAACAUUUAGUCCAACAAGCAUCCAAGGGUGUGGCUUAGUCGUCAACGAAGUAGGUGAGAAUCAUAACAUCUCAGGUUCAAAUUCCAGCAGAUACAAAAACACCAGGUGAUUUCUUUCCAUCUAUCCUGGUCUUGAUAGAUAGAGUUACCUAAUACCUGUUGCGGGUAGGAGGUGGCAGAUAUCAUGUAGAAUUAGUCGAGAUGUGCGUAAGCUGACCCGGACACCAAAGUUAUUUAGAAAAAGAAACAUUAAUUUAUCACAAAUAAAGAAAUCCCAAAAUCAAAUCUUUAACAUAUAGUCCAACAAACAUCCAAGGGUGUGGCCUAGUCGUCAAUGAAGUGAGUAAGAAUCAUAACAUCUCAGGUUCAAAUCCCAACAAAUACAAUAUCCUAGCCUCGAUGGAUAGAGUUACCUGGUAUCUGCUGUGGGUAAGCUAGCCUAGAAACCACAAUUAUUAAAAGAAAAAAAAAACAUUAAUUUAUCACAAAUAAAGAAAGCCCAAAACCAAAUCUUUAACAUAUAGUCCAACAAGCAUCAAGGGUGUGGUCUAGUCGUCAAUAAAGUGAGUAAGAAUCAUAAUCCCAGCAGACACAAAAAUACUAGGUCAUUUCUUCCAAAAGCAUAGAGUUAAAAAACAUAUAGUCCAACACAUAAAAGAUAUAUUAGCUUUUUUUUGUUUUUGUUUUCCCAAGCCGGCAGUUAUGAGACUAAUCUUCCAUUCCUACGGUCAGCGCUAAAUAAGAAAUGUACAUAUAUAAAUUCAAGAAUCAAGAUUCUGGAAUAUACCUUUUUAUGGCUGGAAUCAACUAAAUUGAGCUAAAAAAAGGAUCUUUAACUACAAAAAAGAAAGACAAAAUCAAGAAAACAGUUAUCUUUAUGCAAUAUUAAUAUAUAUAUAUACAUAUAUAUAUAUACAUAUAUAUAUAUAUGAUUUUUUAAACAAUUUUGGUGGUGACCCAAGUGAAUCUAUAGGGUGAAAGUUCAUAAAAGCGGAGUUUUUUUGUAUUAUUGUGUUGAUAUUUUUUUGAAUUUUACAGUGACACCCAUAGUUAUACACUAAAUUUCUAGAUAUAUACAAAAUGGGGUUGCACCAAACAAAAAUGUGUUGAGAUUGUAUCGAAAGCAAUGUAUCUUUAUAAAAGAAAGAAUAUAUAUAAUUAUGUAUCUCGAUAGAUUAAAAAUUAAAAAAAUGUAUUGGGAGCUGACUAUGUAUCUUUACAAAGGAAAAAUUGUAUCUUCAAUAGAUAUAUUAUAUAUCUCGAACAUUUCAAAGUUGAAAAAAAUUUGUAUUGGGAGUUAAUUAUGUAGCUUUACAAAAGAAAAACGUAUCUUCGUUGAAGAUAUCGGAAGCUAAUUAUGUAUCUCAACGGAUCCAAAAUGAAAGGAAAAAAUGUAUCUUUGUUGGAUGUAUUAUAUAUCUCGAUAGACUCAAAAAUGAAAAAAAAAUAUCGAAAGCUAAUUAUGUAUCUUUACAAAGGAAAAGAUGUAUCUUUAUCGAAUAUAUCGAGAGCUCAUUAUGUAUCUCAACAGACUCAAAAUCGAAAUUAUUAAUUAUACUAAAAUAAAUCUAUAAAAAGAUUAUAUAAAAUAAUGUAUAUUACUAUAUACUCAUUGAUUUAAUUUAUAAAUAAUUAUAAAUCUUUUUCCAUUGUUUUUCAUUUUUAAUUUUUUUUUUCAUUUUUAACAUUUUAAAUUACACGUCAGCAUCGAGUUGGAUGUGGGGUCCACUGUCUUGUUGAGGUUAACUUUGGGCCCACAAAGUUUACUGAAUCUAUUAGUCUACCCCAUUAGUUUCCUUUUAUUUAACAGAAAUGGUCCCAAUAUGUUUUCGUACUAUUCGAAAUUGAAUAAAUCUGGCCUCCGUUGAUUUUUUGGCUCAUUAUAUUUUUAAUAUCGACUAUUUAAUUUCACAUAUAUUUUUCGUUUUAAUGAAUUAAUCGCUUAACACGUGUCAUAAUUCUAAGAAACCUGCAUGUCUCUAUGUGAAGCACAUAUUUGAUCCCACAUACAUAUUUUGAGAUCAAUUUAACCGCAUAUUACGUUCUUUCAUCAAUCAAAUAUUCGCACUUCAUUGAUCUGGUGUCUUUCAUAGAGUAAAGACGUUCCUUUCAAAAAAAAAUUCAUCUUUAAAUCGCGAUUAUGAAAUCUUUGAUUAACCAUUAGAUAUUUGUGUCUCAUCGAUUUGAUUACUCCAAAUUUGCAUCUAGCAACACCAAUCUUCGAGAGGUUUUAGUAUUAGUAUUAUUUUUUGGAUUUGAAUUCGAAAUUUUUGAUCAACCAUAUUUAAUUAUUUCGAUUAAUUUAAAUUUCUUUAUUCUUUAUAAAAAAAAUAACAGAAAUUUAGAAAUGGCUCAGAAUCCAAGACACUUGUAGUUGGAAUAUGUCAUACUAGUGGGAUGAACUUACUAUUUUUGUAAAGGUGUAGACUUGAAAAUAAAUCUAUUUUAAAUUAGAGAUAUCAAAUAUGAGUUUCUAAAACUGAAAAAAAAUCCUAUUGAAAGCACCACCGCCCUCAUAAAUGAACCCUAUAAUGCGAGAAUUCGAAUAUAAUCAAACAGAGACGGAGAAUACCAUUGUAUCAAUAACAAGGAAAAAGUAGCAAUUCAGUUUCAAAUGAUUUGACGAUCAAUUUUGAUUGAGGCAAUUCUUACUUGCUCGUUGCCAACUAAUCUAUCUCCUCGACUUACGAGCACGCCAUUCUUGAAACAGAUUUUCCAAUACAGGUACCGGACUUCGGAUGGAAAACAUUUUCACCAAAAAAGGAUUGUUUUGGUUUGGGGGGAACUUAUUACAUUUGUCAAGAGAUCAUAGUAAUGAAAGUUAAUUGGUUAAAUUACUUAAUUACAUAGGAUAUAGCUAAGUUGCUUGGACUCUUCAGAAAUGUUGCCGCACCCGUGUCGGAUCCUUCAAAAAUACACUAUUUUUGGAAUAUCCGACAUGCACCGGCAGACAUUUUUGAAGAGUCCGAGCAACUUAGGGAUAUAGUUAAUCACUCAUGAUAAAACUUUCAACAGCUGCACUUCAAAAAUUAGAGGCUCCUUCAUGUGAGACAUAAGGCUACGUCUUGGUCCAAACUGCAAGAAAACAAUAUCAGAUGAACCAACUCGACGACGACAACAACAACAUAAGGGUGUAAUCGUAAAAGUGGGGUCUGGAGCAGAUAGGAUAUACGAUGACUUUACCCCUACCUUUGUCGAGUAGAGAGGUUGUUUCCAAUAAACCAACAACAACGACGACGACAUACCCAGUGUAUUCCCGCAAAGUAGGGCCUCGAGAGGGUGAGAGGGUGAAGUGUACGCAGUCCAUACCACUACCUCAUAUGAGGUAGAGAGGUUGUCUCCGAUAGACUCCCGGCUCAAGACAUAUAACAAAUGUGUGAACAGAGCAGGAUUGAAAGGAAAAUAACGACAGAGAAAUAGCAAGAUAAACAAAGCAAUGGAAGCAACGUAUAAUAGUAAAAAUGAAAAUUAAGAUACUAUGUAAAUACUAAGGAGAGGAGACUAGCCACCUUCCUCUCCUACAUAAAUGUACGAAAGCACUCGCCUAACUUCUACCGUAAUUCUCGAUCUCCAUACCUUCCUAACUAAGUUCAUGUCCACAGUAAAUCGAAGAUACCCGAUGUCGUGUCUAAUAACCUUUCCCAGUUCUUUUUCGGCCACCUCUACCUCUCCUAAAACCUGCUAUAACUAUCCUCUCUCACACCUCGUUACUGGUGCAUCGCACAUCAACUAAAGAAUCAUAAGAGGAACCUGAAUUCCUUGCGAAAUCCGCUUUACAAUUAACCAGCCAAAGUUACAUCCAAAGAGUUACUCAUAGAAUCAGUUAGUUGGGAGACGAGUGUAGGAUAACUGCUACCAAAAGUAGAUUAAAUGAUAAUAUCCGCAAAACACAUACCUCUUCAGGUACUGGCUGUAGAUUCUCGUUGAUGUAUCCAACGGAAGGCGGUAUCAGUGCUCUUCUUUUUCCUGCAAUACAGGACUUACAGUUCAAAUACCUAGAACUGUAUACAUUGAAAAACAGAAACUAUUUCUUUUAAGAGCGUAGGAACAACCUCCGGGCUUCAUUCCGAUAAGGACUUCUUUCAGACCCUCUAUUAUCUGCAGAGAUUCAAGAAGACUUGUAAGACGAACAAAAAUCAGCUAAUUAUCAACUAUGCCCUCACCCCCACCCCUCACACAAUAACACAUGGAAAGAAGAGGGACCAUUGCAGUUAUAGGAGGUGGCUUACUACAGUGAGACGACAUAGACAACCCAGACAUCCUUAACCUCGCCAGUCUUGACGGCAUGGAGGGUAAUGCAGUUACUAUAGGAGGUGAUCCAUACUAGUGGGAAGACAUAAGCAAUGUCAGAAUGGUCCGCGAAAUACAUCUUUAACCUCACAAUUUCAAGGCAGGGUAAUGUUGGCAUCUGAAAAAGACUGAAACAUAUAAUGUUGCUCGGCGAGACAACGGCUUCUCCUGGCCGUUAUUCUUCUUAGUACUAAGUUUCUCUUCUUUUUAUGUGUAGGACCAAAUAUGUACCGAGAUUCUCUAGCAUGUUGCUUCGGAACAACAAUACAUUUUUUCUCACGCUAACAAAACUUGUCUAGGAUCUACCUGUUAACCUUGUUUGAUGAACUAUGUGGCACUAUUGGACCACAAGCACUAUAUAUCUCCCAUUUUAAAGGCACAAAAGACGUCGACAUGCAAUAGACCUUCCGGUGAUGCCACUUAAUGGAAGUCAGAAGGUUGCUGUCUGACCUUUAGAAUUUCUAUUUUAAGCCCAAAGCUAGCAAAUACCAUGACCUGUUUAUCAUCCAGAGGAAGUAUGACAGGAGCACUCUCUCCGCUGAAUUGGUCCACCGUACUACAUUGAAGCAAAACAAAAAAGUUCAAUGUAUAUUCCACAGAACAGAAGAAAGUAUGAUGUGGAUUUACUGAUUAAGAAGCAUCUGGAAGAGCGAACAUAAACUGAUGUUCUCUCCUUUUUCUAUAUUUUUCAUUCAGCAACCGUAUAAUUUUCUUUCUUAAGUUGAUUUUUGUUUAAAGCAGUACCUGUGGACAAAAUAUCCAUUUGAUCGUCGGCAGACAUAAUUAAUUUCAACGACAUCCCCUUCAUGAGCCUCUGGUCCUUCCCCUUCAACAAUAUCUGCAGAAGACCCAACAGAUCGUUAAUACCUUUAAAUGAACAAGAAUGACAUGGAGAGCUUGAUGUGCUCCCUUCCAAUCAUAAUGUUUUUAUGCUUGUGAUGACAUCAAUGACGAAAUGGAACAUAAAACUGUAAGGAAGGAGAUCAUUUAUUAUAAACAUCAACUGCUUUUCCUCUUAACUUUUUCAUUGGGUUAAAAUCUACAAUUUCCUAUCCUAAAUGCCCUAACUCGUAUGCAUGCACCAAACAUUGAACACAUGAAACUGCCGCAUGCCAAACAUAGAAGCAAGUUAUACAUGUUCCAUUCAAUUAUAACAACUUGAGCUCGACCUAUUAAAUGUUCGAAAGAGUCUGGAAAAAAGCUCAACUGGACUGGGCUCAUGUAAAAUUAACCCUGACUUGUUUUUUCAAUUAAGAAAAACAAACCAGAUGAUUUACUUCGACUAUUAACCGAAUCAAGCUCGUUAAAACUUGUCUUGAUUAGUAUAAUGUUCACGAAUAUAUUGAACAUAGGUGCAUCUCUUGGCAUAACUCUGUCUAUCUAUAUGAAGUAUAGAUAAUUUAAAACUUCGAUUCAGAGAACAGGUUGAGUAUAUUUAUCGUACGACCUUAAAAAGGGUUAUACCUUGUAGCCUCACUCCACUAUCAAGCUUUAAGGUCCUGAAUGCUUCAAAUCCAAAUUAACAACAGCAUUAAAACAAUGACUGAGUUUAUCUAGACUAGAUAAACAAUUAAACCGUGGAGGUAAGCAACCGAACCAAAAGCAGAAAAGAAACGGAAACAACAUUUACCGGAUAAUAUCAGGUUCUCUCAUCUCCUGCAUUGGUGCAGAUGAGACAGGAGAAAUGCUUAUGACGAUGGGACUCAGUCCAACAAACUGCAGAACUGACCUCCUCAGCAACUUUUUGACAUUUAGGGAUGGCAUCCUUUCAUCUGAGCUUUUAGGCACAGUAAUCUUACAUUGUUCACCGUUCUUAAAGCUGUUUGCAUAAACAAAUUAUAAAUUACAAGUAGGAUUAAGCAUAUGACAAUUUAGGAUUGAGGCAUAGCAGUUUUUGUUGUUGAUUAAGCAGAAAAACACUUCUAAUCUUCUUAUUCUUUCUUUGUCAUCUUUCGUUUUUUACUCUCGAAUGUAAUAAAUUCCAUUCAUCCAUAACUGGACAAACUUGCAGUUUAUAAAGUAAAACAAUAGCCUUUAUGAACAUAAAACAGCCAAGGCGGAAUUCAAGUCAGCGCACAUAGUAUCUUUAACCACUCCCCGUUCCCAAUAGUAGAUGUAAUUUUGAUAUCUUACAUUGCACGGUAUAUCCAAAUCUGUUUGCAUAAACAAGUUACAAAUUACAAGUAUGAUGAAGCAGCUGACAUUUCUUAUAUUCUUCUUUAUUUGUUAUGUUCUGCAUUUUCUCUCUAACGUCAAAAUUUCCAUUCAUCCAUAAACCAGACCAUCUUAUUUUUAAUGGUAAUAGGCAGUAAAAAGAGGCAAUACAGAAGAAUGUAAACAAUAAAACGAGUCAAAGUAGGUUGUCUCAAACUGUCGCACUCAAUUUUGUUGCAUCAUGUAAUUUAACCAAUUCAAUUGUUUGCUUGUUUAAUUAGACGGUGAAUGUGCAAGUUCACCCUUUGCUAAUUAGGACUAAUACUCGUGGAGGGAAAUACCAAAAAUAGGAACAAGGCUACAUAUUUUUAGAAAUGAGCGGAACUCUACUAACUAAGCUAUAUCCACCACGCCAAGUGGAGCAUGAAUAAAGUAGACAAAUGCUUUUUCGAUUCAGGAACAAGUGUUGAAUAACCUAUCUUUAUCGAAAGACAUCUAUGUAAUCUAGCGGACCAUGGAAUGUAUUAUCGAUGUUAAGAAAACCAAAACUAAAAAGUGCCGUGGUUACAUCCCAUAAACCAGACCAUUUCGCAUCAAGUUUAAAAAAACUAGGAUCUAACCAUUGAUACAUAACAUAAUUUUAUCUAUGCAAAUCAUUCCAUUAGAGAAAUUCAUUAUGACACAAAGCAUUAUUAACAACAAGAAGUUCAAGCAAUAAGUUAGGAUCACCAUGGCGGAGCUAGUGGGCUCUUCGCCGAAAAAUUACAUUGUAUACAUAAGAUCAAAUUACUACAACAACAAAAAACCCAAUGUAGCCCCACAACUAGGUUCUAGGGAGAGUAGUUUGUACGUAGACCGAGCCGAGACCCUCGGCUCGAUUAAUGGACAAAAUGAAUCUGGGUCUAACUCAACCAAAAAACUAGCUCAGGAGGGAGGAUUGUCCAAGUGCAUAAUAAGGAGACAAGUUACUCAUCCUUUUUCCGAUGUGUGACUCUCAACGAGUAAAGCAUAACAAAAAUAGUAAGAAAAGGAAAAAAAGUAGUAUAGAAGCCACAAGUAAUAAUAGAAUAAUGGAAUCGAACUAUUGAAAAUGGCUCCUCUAUGUCAUUCGUUAUAAGUUUAGCUUAUCUAUAUCAUCAACUUUAAAAGUCUGGCUUAUCUAUGCCACUACUGUUACAGAAAAGUUCAUAUGUGUCAUUAUUUUGCAAUGGUGAUUUUGCAAAACCAUUUUUGCCAUGUGGCCUCUUACUAGAAGUCCACGUCACCAAAUCUAAAUCAACAAAUAUUACUUAAAUCAAAAUAAAAAAUCAUACCCAUUAAAAUAAAACCUGACACAAUCAAUGAGUUUCUCCAAUUUUUAUUUUAACUAUGUGGAUCAAAUUUUAUUUUAAUGGAUCCAAUUUUUAAUUUUUUAUUUUAAUGUAAUAUUGAUUGAUUUGGAUUUGGUAACGUGGACCUCCAAUAAGAGGCAACGUGACAAAAAUGGUUCUGCAAAAAUCACCAUUCUAAAAUAAUGGCACGAAUGAACCUUUCCGUAACGACAGCGGCAUAGAUGAGCCAAACUUUCACUGACAGUGGCAUAAAUGAGUCAAUCUUAAAACCGAUGACAUAGAUGAGCCAUUCCUAAUAGUUCGAUGGCAUAUUUGAGCCUUUCCGUAACAACAGUGCACAUAGAUGAGUCAAACUUUCAAUGACACUGGCAUAGAUGAUCCAAACUUGCAACAAAUGUCAUAAAUGAGUUAUUUCUAAUAGUUCGAUGACAUACUUGAGCUUUUUACUGAAUAACAACAACAACAAGAAGUAAACUAGCAUUUAUUUAACUAGACAUUACUCGAUUAUCUACUAAAUUUCAAUCUUAAUCAUUUGCCUCCAUAUACUACUUCCUAUCAAGAGUCAUGUUCUCACUAAGUGCAAAUUAAAUCAAUCGAAAGCUUGAAGAGAAUGCUUGUUAAUUACCAUGGGAUUUUGGAAGCGAAGCAAUGUCUGGUGAAUAAUAGUAUAGAUGAUCCAAACUUAUAACGACUGGCAUAUAUAAGUCAUUUCUAAAAGUUUGAUGGAUGGCAUAAUUGAGCCUUUUGCUGAAUAAUAAUAAUAACAACAACAACAACAGGUAAACUAGAAUUUAUUUAACUAAACAUUACUCGACUAUGUACGAAAUUUCAAUCUCAAUCCUUUGCCUCCAUAUACUACUACUAUCUAGAGUCGUGUUCUAAGUAAGAGCAAAUUAAAGCAAUCGAAGCUUGACGACUACUACUCUAUAACGUAUAGCAUAGAUGAGCCAAACUUGACAUAUAGCAUAGAUGAGUCAUUUCUAAUAGCUCGGCCACAUAUUUGAACCUUUUGAUGUAUAAUUACAACAAUAACAACAAGUAAACUAGCAUUUUUUUAACUAAACAUUACUCGACUGCCUACUAAAUUUCAACCUUAAUCCUUUGCCUCCAUGUACUACACUUAUCUAGAGUCAUGUUCUCGGUAAGAGCAAAUUAAAGCAAUCGAAGCUUGGUGAGUACUACUCUAUAGCGUAUAGCAUAGAUGAACCAAACUUGACGCAUAGCAUAGAUGAGUCAUUUCUAACAGUUCGACCACAUAUUUGAGCCUUUUGAUGAAUAAUAAUAACAACAACAAGUCAACUAGCAUUUAUUUAACUAGACAUUACUCGACUACCUACUAAAUUUCAAUCUCAAUCCUUUGCCUCCAUAUACUACUUACUAUCAAGAGUUGUGUUCUCGAUAAGUGCAAAUAAAUCAAUCGAAGCUUGGCGAGUACUACUUUAUAACGUAUAGCAUAGAUGAGUCAUUUCUAACAGUUCGACCACGUAUUUGAUGAGUCAUUUCUAACAGUUCGACCACAUAUUUGAACCUUUUGAUGAAUAAUAAUAACAACAACAACAACAACAAACCCAGUGUAUUCCCACCUAGUGGGGUCUGGGGGGGUAAGAUGUACGCAGUCCAUACCUCUACCUCUGAUGAAGUAGAAAGGCUGUUUCCGAUAGACCCCCGGCUCAAGGCACGAGAUACCACACAAACACAUAGUGCAGCACAGAAGCAGAUUACAUAACAUAAAUACGGCACCCAUAAGUAAUAUAAAGCAGAGGAAAGCAGGGGAAAGCACACAGAUUCGUAAUACAACAUGGAACACGGAACACGGAAUCAUGAUGAAUAAUAAUAACAACAAGAAGAAUUCAACUAGCAUUUAUUUAACUAGACAUUACUCGACUACCUACUAAAUUUCAAUCUUAAUCCUUGACCUCCAUAUACUACUACUAUCUAGAGUCGUGUUCACGGUAAGAGCAAAUUAAAUCAAUCAAAGCUUGACAAGUACUACUCUAUAACGUAUAGCAUAGAUGAACCAAACUUAAAACGACGGGCAUAAAUGAGUUAUUUCUAAUAGUUCGAUGACAUAUUUGAGCCUUUUGUUGAAUAAUAAUAAUAACAACAACAACAACAAGUAAACUAGCAUUUAUUUAACUAGACAUUGUUCGACUACCUACUAAAUUUCAAUCUCAAUCCUUUGCCUCCAUGUACUACUUACUAUCUAGACUCAUGUUCUCGGUAAGAGCAAAUUAAAGCAAUCGAAGCUUGACGAGUAUUACUCUAUAACGUAUAGCAUAGAUGAACCAAACUAAUAACGACUGGCAUAAAUGAGUCAUUUCUAAUAGUUCGACCACAUAUUUGAGCCUUUUGAUGAAUAAUAAUAACAACAACAAGAAGUCAACUAGCAUUUAUUUAACUAGACAUUGCUCGACUACUUACUAAAUUUCAAUCUCAAUCCUUUGCCUCCAUAUACUACUUACUAUCUAGACACAUGUUCUCGGUCAGAGAAAAUUAAAGCAAUCGAAGCUUGACGAAAACUACUCUAUAACGUAUAGCAUAGAUGAGACAAACUUGAAGUAUAGCAUAGAUGAGUCGUUUCUAACAAUUCGACCAUAUAUUUGAAACUUUUGAUGAAUAAUAAUAACAACAACAACAACAAGUAAACUAGCAUUUAUUUAACUAGACAUUACUCGACUACCUACUAAAUUUCAAUCUCAAUCCUUUGCCUCCAUGUACUACUUACUAUCUAGACUCAUGUUCUCGGUAAGAGCAAAUUAAAGCAAUCGAAGCUUGACGAGUAUUACUCUAUAACGUAUAGCAUAGAUGAACCAAACUAAUAACGACUGGCAUAAAUGAGUCAUUUCUAAUAGUUCGACCACAAAUUUGAGCUUUUGAUGAAUAAUAAUAACAACAACAAGAAGUCAACGAGCAUUUAUUUAACUAGACAUUGCUCGACUACUUACUAAAUUUCAAUCUCAAUCCUUUGCCUCCAUAUACUACUUACUAUCAAGAGUCGUGUUCUCGAUAAGUGCAAAUUAAAUCAAUCGAAGCUUGGCGAGUACUACUCUAUAACGUAUAGCAUAGAUGAGUCAUUUCUAACAGUUCGACCACAUAUUUGAUGAGUCAUUUCUAAUAGUUCGACCACAUAUUUGAACCUUUUGAUGAAUAAUAAUAAUAACAACAACAACAACAAGUAAACUAGCAUUUAUUUAACUAGACAUUGUUCGACUACCUACUAAAUUUCAAUCUCAAUCCUUUCCCUCCGUCUACUACUUACUAUCUAGACUCAUGUUCUCGGUAAGAGCAAAUUAAAGCAAUCGAAGCUUGACGAGUACUACUCUAUAACCUAUAGCAUAGAUGAGCCAAACUUGACGUACAGCAUAGAUGAGUCAUUUCUAACAGUUCGACCACAUAUUUGAACCUUUUGGUGAAUAAUAAUAAGAACAACAACAAGUAAACUAGCAUUUAUUUAACUAGACAUUGUUCGACUACCUAAUAAACUUCAACCUCAAUCCUUGACCUCCAUAUACUACUUACUAUCUAGAGUCGUGUUCUUAAUGAGUGCAAAUUAAAUCAAUCGAAGCUUGGCGAGUACUACUCUAUAACGUAGAGCAUAGAUGAUCCAAACUUAUAACGACUGGCAUAGAUGAGUCAUUUCUACUAGUUCGCUGGCAUAUUUGAGCCUUUUGCUGAAUAAUAACAACAACAACAACAACAACAAGUAAACUAGCAUUUAUUUAACUAGACAUUACUCGACUACCUACUAAAUUUCAAUCUUAAUCCUUGACCUCCGUAUACUACUUACUAUCUAGAGUCGUGUUCUCGAUAAGUGCAAAUUAAAUCAAUCGAAGCUUGACGAGUACUACUCUAUAACGUAUUGCAUAGAUGAGUCAUUUCUAACAGUUCGACCACAUAUUUGAACCUUUUGAUGAAUAAUAAUAAUAACAACAACAACAACAAGUAUACUAGCAUUUAUUUAACUAGACAUUGUUCGACUACCUUCUAAAUUUCAAUCUUAAUCCUUGACCUCCAUAUACUACUUACUAUCUAGAGUCGUGUUCUCGAUAAGUGCAAAUUAAAUCAAUCGAAGCUUGGCGAGUACUACUCUAUAACGUAUAGCAUAGAUGAACCAAACUUAUAACGACUGGCAUAGAUGAGUCAUUUCUACUAGUUCGCUAGCAUAUUUGAGCCUUUUGCUGAAUAAUAAUAAUAACAACAACAACAACAAGUGUACUAGCAUUUAUUUAACUAGACAUUGUUCGACUACCUACUAAAUUUCAAUCUUAAUCCUUGACCUCCGUAUACUACUUACUAUCUAGAGUCAUGUUCUCGAUAAGUGCAAAUUAAAUCAAUCGAAGCUUGGCGAGUACUACUCUAUAACGUAUAGCAUAGAUGAACCAAACUUAUAACGACUGGCAUAGAUGAGUCAUUUCAACUAGUUCGCUAGCAUAUUUGAGCCUUUUGCUGAAUAAUAACAACAACAACAAGUAAACUAGCAUUUAUUUAACUAGACAUUUUUCGACAACCUACUAAAUUUCAAUCUCAAUCCUUUGCCUCCAUAUACUACUUACUAUCUAGACUCAUGUUCUCGGUAAGAGCAAAUUAAAUCAAUCGAAGUUUGGCGAGUACUACUCUAUAACGUAAAGCAUAGAUGAGCCAAACUUGACGUAUAGCAUAGAUGAGUCAUUUCUAACAGUUCGACCACAUAUUUGAACCUUUUGAUGAAUAAUAAUAACAACAACAAGUAAACUAGCAUUUAUUUAACUAGACAUUAAUCGACUACCUACUAAAUUUCAACCUCAAUCCUUGACCUCCAUAUACAACUUACUAUCUAGAGUCGUGUUCUCAGUAAGCGCAAAUUAAAUCAAUCAAAAGCUUGAAGAGAAUGCUUGUUAAUUACCAUGGAAUUUGGGAAGCAAAGCAAUAUCUGAAUCCAAAUUGCGGAGCUGCCAGUGCCAUUGUUGUCGAUGAAGGGGACCAAUUUUGAACACUUCAAAAGUUGUGGGGAAUUUUUUGCUGAAUUUUUUUUUUUGGAGGGAAAGUGGAAGAAAAGGUGGAAAAUGUAUUGUGGGAGAAGAAGAGAUAAUGACAAAAUGGUAACUUAUGUUUGGAUAAGAGUGUAAAAUAGUCCCCUAAACUUAUUUUUUAGCAUUUUAGAGUACCUUAAUUUGUUAAUGUGAGUAUUUUUAGUCAUUGUUAGAAUAUUUGUUAGUAUAUCGUAUUCCUCACAUGUGUUUUAUUCGUUUUGUUCGUUUUUUCAAUAAAUUUUGUUUGUUGGCAAAUCGCAUUCCACAUGCGCCGUUUUAUUCAUUUUGUUCAUUUUAUCGAUAAAUUUUAAUAUUUGUUAGCAAUUGCGUUUUGUUCGUUUUAUUUUUUAUAAAUUUUACUAUUUGUUAGUAAAUCGCGUUCCACAUAUGAGGUUUAUUCGUUUUAUCGAUAAAUUUUAUCUGUUAGUAAAGCUGAGGGUUGGGUCUUGGAAUAUAGGGACCCUUCAGGGGAAGUCCAUAGAGCUGGUGAAGAUUCUUAGGAAGAGAAGGAUCAACCUUGCGUGUGUCCAAGAGACCAAGUGGGUAGGGUCUAAGGCUAGGGAUGUGGACGGUUACAAGCUGUGGUACUCUGGGAGCGACAGGCGUAGGAAUGGAGUUGGCAUCUUGGUAGAUGAAGAGCUUAGAGGUCAGGUAGUGGAGGUGAAGAGGAUCAACGAUAGGUUGAUGACUAUCAAGUUGGUCAUUCGGGGGUUUACCCUGAACGUGUGUAGUGCCUAUGCGCCGCAUGUGGGAUCGGAGGGGGAGGAGAAGAUGCGGUUCUGGGAGGCCUUGGAGGACGUGGUGAGAGGCGUGCCCAGUUCGGAGAAGAUUGUGGUAGCAGGGGAUUUCAACGGGCACAUCGGGGCGCUACCGGGAGGCUUUGGGGAUGUGCAUGGAGGUUUUGGUUUUGGGGAGAGAAAUGAAGAGGGGGCGACCCUAUUGGAGUUUGCGAGGGCGUUUGGGCUGGUGGUGGUGAACUCGGGCUUCCCGAAGAAGGACGACCACCUGAUCACUUUUCGGAGCGCGGUAGCCAGGACCCAGAUUGACUUCUUGUUGCUUAGGAAAGGGGAUAGGGCGCUGUGUAAAGAUUGUAAAGUCAUCCCGAGUGAGAACCUUUCGACCCAACAUAGGCUCUUGGUUAUGGAUUUGGGUAUGAAGAAGAAUAAAAAGAGGAGGAGUAAGGAGUGUAGACCGAGAAUUAAGUGGGGCGGUUUGACGCCAGUGAAUGCGUGGGAGAUAGGGGAGAGGUUGGCGGGAAUGGGGGUGUGGGAGUGUAGGGGGGACGUGGAUAAUAUGUGGGACAGGGCGGCAGCGUGCAUCAGGGAAAAUGCAAGGGAGGUGUUGGGUGUUUCUAGGGGCCGGGCCGGACAUCAUCGGGGGGAUUGGUGGUGGAAUGAAGAGGUGGGGAAGAAAGUGGAGACCAAGAAAGAGUCGUAUGCUAAGUUGGUGGAAAGUAAGGACGAAGAGGAGAAGCGGGUAAACAGGAAAGAGUACAAGCUAGCAAGGAAGGAGGCGAAGUCAGCGGUCACGGCAGCUAAGACGGCUGCUUUUGAGAGCUUGUAUGCAGGGUUACAGGGGAAAGGAGGGGAGAAAAAGUUGUUCCGACUCGCUAAGGCUAGGGAGAGGAAGGGUCGUGACCUCGAUCAGGUGCGGUGCAUUAAGGGGGAGGACGGUAGAGUGUUGGUGGAGGACGGCCACAUAAAGAAGAGAUGGCAGUCGUACUUUCAUAGGCUCUUGAAUGACGAGGGGGACAGAGCUAUUGUGUUAGGGGAACUGGAGCACUCAGGGGAGUGUCGGGAUUUUAGCUAUUGUAGACGUUUUAAGGUAGACGAGGUUAGACAGGCAGUCCGCAGGAUGCGAAGGGGUAGGGCGACGGGGCCGGAUGAGAUACCGGUGGAGUUUUGGAAGUUCGUUGGAGAGGCUGGUGUAAGGUGGUUGACUGCAUUGUUCAAUGAAAUUUUCAGGACAGCAAAGAUGCCCGAGGCGUGGAGGUGGAGUACCAUGAUCCCCCUCUAUAAGAAUAAGGGGGACAUUCAGUGUUGCAAUAACUAUAGGGGGAUUAAGUUACUGAGUCACUCUAUGAAGAUCUGGGAGAGAGUGGUCGAGGUGAGGCUGAGACGGAUAGUGUCUAUCUCGGAAAACCAGUUCGGAUUUAUGCCCGGCCGCUCGACGACGGAGGCAAUUCACCUGGUACGGCGGUUGGUGGAGCAAUAUAGGGAAAGGAAGAAGGAUUUGCACAUGGUGUUCAUCGACCUAGAAAAGGCGUACGACAAAGUCCCCAGGGAGGUGCUUUGGAGAUGCUUGGAGGUGAGUGGAGUACCGCAGGCAUAUAGCAGAGUAAUUAAGGAUAUGUAUGAGGGAGCGAAAACCCAGGUGAGGACGGCGGGAGGAGACUCAGAGCAUUUCACUGUCCUGACAGGAUUGCAUCAGGGAUCUACUCUUAGUCCCUUUUUGUUUGCGCUAGUAAUGGAUGUGUUAACGCGGCGUAUCCAAGGGGAGGUGCCGUGGUGUAUGCUUUUUGCAGACGAUGUAGUCCUGAUAGAUGAGACGCGAGGGGGUGUGAACGACAAAUUAGAGCUGUGGAGGCAAACUCUGGAGUCUAAAGGGUUCAGGGUGAGCAGAACCAAGACAGAGUAUGUGGAAUGUAAGUUUAAUGACGUAAGGCGAGAGAAUGAGGUAGUGGUGAGGCUAGAAGCGCAGGAGGUAAAGAAAAGGGAUAAGUUCAAGUACCUCGGGUCCGUGAUCCAGAGUAACGGUGAGAUUGACGAGGAUGUCUCGCACCGUAUCGGGGCGGGAUGGAUGAAGUGGAAACUUGCAUCGGGGGUGCUGUGUGAUAAGAAGGUGCCGCCCAAGCUUAAAGGUAAAUUCUAUAGGGUGGUAGUCCGUCCGGCCUUGCUGUAUGGAGCGGAGUGUUGGCCAGUUAAGAACUCCCACACCCAAAGAAUGAAGGUGGCAGAAAUGCGGAUGUUGCGCUGGAUGUGUGGACUGACCCGAAGGGAUAGAGCUCGGAAUGAGACUAUCCGGGAGAAGGUUGGGGUGACUUCAGUGGAGUGUAAGAUGCGGGAAGCACGAUUGAGAUGGUUCGGACACGUGAAGAGGAGGGGCAUGGAUGCCCCGGUCCGUAGGUGUGAGAGGCUAGCGUUGGAUGGUUUUAGACGGGGUAGGGGUAGACCGAAGAAGUACUGGGGUGAGGUGAUUAGGCGGGACAUGGAACAGUUACAGCUUACCGAGGACAUGACCCUAGAUAGGAAGGUCUGGAAGACGCGAAUUACGGCAGAGGAUUAGGGCCUGUUCGGGUCGCUAAUGUAGGGAGGUAAUUGGUGGGGGGGUAUUCCGGGUAUGAUUCCGUAUUCAAUGUUCUGUUCCGUGUUCCGUGUUCUAUGUUUGUUACGAAUCUGUGUGCUUUCCUCUGCUUUAUAUUCCUGCAUUCCUNNNNNNNNNNNNNNNNNNNNNNNNNNNNNNNUGUUUUAUAUUCCUUAUGGCUGCAGUAUCUAUGUUAUGUCAUCUGCUUCUGUGCUGUACUAUGUGUUUGUUUGAUAUCUCGUAACUUGAGCCGGGGGUCUUUCGGAAACAGCCUUUCUACUUCAUCAGAGGUAGAGGUAUGGACUGCGUACAUCUUACCCCCCCCAGACCCCACAAAGUGGGAAUACACUGGGUUUGUUGUUGUUGUUGUAGUAAAGCGCAUUCUACAUGUGUAUUUUAUUCGUUUUUUAGAUAAAUUUUAUUUGUUAGUAAGUCACACACUUCUCGUAUGCGAGUUAUUCAUUUUGUUUCAUUUUCAGAGAAAUUUAAUUUUGUGUUGGCUUAUGACACCUCAUCUACCUCUUCGGGAUAAUGAUAAAUGCGUUAUACUUUAUCCUUCACAAAUUAUAUUUGUGAAAUUUUACUGGGGAUAUUGUUAUUGUUGUUGUUGUGUGUCACCAUGGCACUUAUGGAUCCUUUAAUGAGUAAUACACUAUUUAACAAGUUAUAUUAUAUUUGUUGGAUUUAAUAAAAAUAGUAUUAAUAGAAUAUAUUUAGGAGUUGUUUGGCCAUGGAUGUUUUUCACUUUAUUUCGAAUUAGUUCAAAUUUAUAUCAAGGUGUUCAACUACAUAAGCCAUUAUAAUGUUCAUCGAUCUAGAAAAAAAAAGAUACGACAAAGCCCAGUAUGUUAUAUGCAAAUGUUUAGAGGCUAUAGUUGUUGGCCUUAGUGAUAGAUGGAUUGACGCGAUGACUUCAAGAUAAGGCAUCAUAGUGUAUGUUAUUUACGGAUAACAUAAUCCUGGUUGACGAGACACACGACAAAAGACAGCACUAAGUUAGAGUUAAGAGAACAACCUAUAUAUAUUAUAAGUUAGAAAUAAAAUAUGCGUACAUUUUAUCCUCCCCAGUUUCACUUGUGAAACUACACUAAACAUAUAUGUUAUUAUGAGUAUUGUAUUUCGAUUUUAGUCCAACAAACCAAAUAUAUCCUAAUAAUUCAACCAACAAUGUAAUUUUUUGUGUCAGAAUUCUAUCAUUAUGAUCUUGGGAUAACUUAUUUACAACCAAACGCCCCCUAGUUGAAUUGCACCCUCCAACGUUGUUUGUGGCCAAUAAGAGAUUGCCACUUGUUCCAUAGUCGUUGGAAAGCAACUAGUCCACUAGCGCGUGUCAAGCUCACAUUUCUCUGUUAGCGCAUAUUUUCUAUCCCGAUUGGUCUCAAACGCCUUCACUGGUGCCUGAGUGAGCAUCAGUUCUUCGACAUUGUCCUCGAAAUGGUGCCACCGGGGACCGACUUCGCUCAUGCCCACCACAAGGUGACCCAAUUAGUCCAAAUUUAUCCUAAGCUCUUUUCACGCCGUACACCAUCAUCAUAGUCUCAGGAUAACUUACCAGGGCAAAUAACAUAAAUUCUGACAGUUUGAAAUUUAAUUACAAAAAAAUCCAACGUUUUGCAUAACUACUGAAAAUUUCGAUUCGGGAUUUGUCGAGAUACCCCGAUACAUCUAAUGAAAAUACAUUUUUAUAUAAAGAUACAUGACUAGAUCCCGACAUCUAAUGAAAAUAUAUUUUUUUCUUUAUAAAGAUAUAUAAUUAGCUCUCAAUAUAUUUUUACUGAUUUUGAUCUGUCUAGAUACAUAAUACAUCAAACAAAACUACAUUUUUUCCUUGUAAAAGAUACAUAUUCAUCUCUCGAUACAUUUUUUUUCGAUUUUGGAUCAGUCGAGAUACAUAAUUAAUUUCCAAUACAUCAAACGAAGAUAUAUAAUUAGUUAAGAUCUGUAUAACCACUUUAUAAAGGUAAGAAUUAUGUAAAUAUGUUUAUAUUAUUUUGGGAAAAUGCUCUUUUCCACCCUGAACUAUAUACGAAAUUGCUUAAACACACCUAAAUUUUAGGAGAGUCCUAUUACCCCUGGACUAAUUAAAAUCUUUUUGUGAUAAUUUUAGUGCCUACAUGGUGCAUACGUGGCACAUCAGUGAAUCAACACAUUGAAGGUCCACGUAGGCCCUAAAGUUGCAAAAAAUACAAUUUUAAUUAGUCUAGAGGUAAUAGGACCCUCCUAAAAUUCGAAUAUAUCUCAGCAAUUUCGUGUAUAAUUUACGGUGAAAACAAUACAUUUUCUCUACAUUAUUUUUCCUAAACUUAUUUACAACCAAACGUCCCCUACAAUAAUUACACCCUCCAAAACCACAAAAUAAUAAUUAAAAAAAAAAAAAAAACGAAAAAACAGCAUCAGUCAAUUACAGACGAAUCAUCCAAAUAGUAACGAAAAACCCGGCCCACCACUUUAAUUUAAUUAAACUCCUAAUAAAAUUCCAACUAAUAAAAAAAAUAGAACAUUCUAGAAUUCCCAAACAAACCCCAGUAUAUAAACACCUUUAAGCCUCCCCAUUCAUCACUCGCACACCAAAGCUCUCUCUAUAUUCGUUUUGCUUUUUCUCUAACCCUAGUUUUCUUCUUCUUCGUUGAGAUCUGUAAUAAUGGCGGAUACAGAGACGUUUGCUUUUCAAGCUGAGAUUAACCAGCUAUUGAGUUUGAUUAUCAAUACUUUUUACAGUAACAAGGAGAUCUUUCUGAGGGAGCUUAUUAGCAAUUCUUCUGAUGUAAGUCAAUCUCUCUCUCUCUCUCUCUCUCUCUCUCUAUAUAUAUAUAUAUAUAUAUAUAUAUAUAUGUAUAUUUUAGCUGUUUUUUUUGUUCAUUGCCUCGAGAUUCGUGCACAAAUCUAUGCAGUAUUGAUUAUAUGUGGAUUCCAUGUAGCUGAUUUUCUGUUCAUAUGUUGGAAGCAUAAUUAUUUGUGAUUUAUUGCUUGUUUCUUGGCUGCAGAUUAUAUAUAGCUGAUGUUUUGCUCACAUGUUAGGAAGGAAGCAUGAUUAUUUAUGAUUUAUUGUUAGUUGUUUGAUUUAUCGUGAUUUAGUGUUACUACAAAGCCUGGAUACAUCUACUUUUGUAGUUAUGCCUCGAGAUUUGUGCGAGAAAUCUGUGUUGUACUGAUGUUUAGUUGAUUUUUUGUAUUUGUGAUUUAGUUUUAGUUGUUUUUAUAGCUGUAGUUGAUUUGAUUCUGCUCAUUGGUUAGAUGCAUGAUGCAUAGCUGCUGAGUUUUAUUAUUAAUGCUUUUUAUAGUAGUAAGGAGAUCUUUCUUCAUAUGAUUAUUAGCAAUUCUUCUGAUGUAAGUCGAUCUAUAUGCUAUUUGUUGAUUAUAUUAUCUGCAUUCGUAGUUAUACCUCGAGAUUUGUGCGAGAAAUCUGUGCAGUAUUGAUGUGUUAUUUGAUGUUUAGUUGUUUUAAUAGCUGUAGUUGAUUAUGCUCACUGGUUAGAUGCAUGAUGCAUAGAUGUUGUGUGUUAUUAUCAAUAUGUUUUAUAGUAACUAGGAGAUCUUUCUUCGGGAGCUUAUUAUUUGCAAUUUGUCGGAUGUAAGUUGAUCUAUAUAUAUUUGAGCUGUUUUUUUUCUCAUUGCCUCGAGAUUCAUGCUCAAAUCUAUACAGUAUUGAUGUGUUAUUUAAUGUUUAGUUGUUUGAUUGUGGAUUCUAUAUGGUUGAUUUUCUGCUAAUAUGUUGGAAGCAUGAUUGUUUGUGGUUUAGUUUUAGCUGUUUUUAUAAAGGACUUUCUCUGUAGUUGAUUCUGCUCAUAUCUGUGGUGUUGAUUGAGCUGUUUUUCAUUGCCUCGAGAUUUGUGCACAAAUCUAUGCAGUAUUGAUUAUUUGAGGGGAUUCUAUAUAGCUGUUCAUAUGUUAGGAAGCCAUAUAGUUAUUGUGAUUUAUUGCUAGUUUUUUGAUUGCAGAUUCUAUAUAGCUGAUUUUUUGCUCAUAUGUUAGGCAGCAUAUGAUUGUUUGUGAUCCAUAUAUAGCUUAUUUUCUGCUCAUAUGUUAGGAAGAAUAUGAUUGUUUGUGAUUUAUAUAUUGCUGAUUUUCUGCUCAUAUGUUAGGAAGCAUGAUUAUUUGUUGAUUUAUAUAGCUGAUUUUCUGCUCAUAUGUUAGGAAGUAUGUGAUUAUUUGUGAUUUAUAUAUUGCUGAUUUUCUGCUCAUAUGUUAAGAAGAAUAUGAUUAUUUGUGAUUUGAGGUUUGUUUUUUUUGAUUGCAGAGAAACUAUAUAGCUGAUUUUCUGAUCAUAAGUUAGGAAGCUUGUUAGUUUUUGUGAUUUAUUGUUAGUUUUUUGAUUGCAGAAUCUAUAUAGCUGAUUUUCUGCUCAUUUGUUAGGAAGCAUAUGAUUAUUUGUGAUGUAGUGUUAGUUUUUGGAUUGCAGAUUCUAUAUAGCUGAUUUUUCUGCUCAUAUGUUAGGAAGCAUGACUCUUUGUGAUUUAGUGUGAUUUGAUGUUCAGUUGUUUUGAUCUGGAUUCUCCGCAGCUGAUUCUCUGCCCAUAUGCAUUAUCCGAGAUACAGUGCUAGUUGUUUUGUAGCGGAUGUUUGCUCAUAGAUCAUAGAUGUGUGAUUGCCCUACGUAGUUGCUUCUCUGUGCAUAUGUUGGAAACAUGAUUAUUUGUUGAAAUUGAGUUAGUUACUUUUUUAUAGUGAAUGCCCGUUGAUAGGUUAGAUGUGUGGUUGCUCUAUGUAGUUGAUUCUCUGCUCCUAUGUUGGAAGCAUGAUUAUUUGUUGAAAUCUUGUUAGUUGUUUUUUAUACUGCAUGCCUGUUGAUAGGUUAGGUGCGUGAUUGUUUAUGAUUUGAUGUUAGUUAUUUGAUCACUGAUUCUGGUCAUAUGGAGUCAUGAUUAUUUGUGAUUUACUGGUAGGCUAGAUGUGUAUUGGCUUUGUGUGAUGUGAUGUGAUGUGAUCGGUUUGAUUGUGGAUUGUCUGUAGCUAAUUUUCUGCUCAUAUGUUGGAUGCAUGAAUAUUUCUGAUCUAGUUUUAGCUGUUUUUAUAGCAGAUGCUCUCUAUAGUUGAUUUUGCUAAUAUCUGCUAAUAGGUUAGAUGCAUGACUUUUUGUGAUUUGUUGUUAUAUGUUUGAUUGUGGAUUUUCUAUUGUUGAUUCUCUGCUCACAGGUUGGAUGUCCUCAGUAGUUGAUUGCUCAUAGGUUAGAUGUGCGAGUGUUUGUGAUUUGAUGCUAUUUGUUUGAUUGCUGAAGCCUUGUAUAAUUGAUUCUGCUUCUUUAAUCUUUAAUAGAUGUGAUUGUUUGUGAAUUAAUAGUUUGAUUGGAGAUGCUAUCCGUAGUUGAGUCUGGUCAUAUGUUGGAAGCAUGAUUAUUUGUUAUAUGUUAUUCAAUGAUAUGGUAUAGUCAUUCAUGGAUAAUAUUUUAAACAUAUGUGAUGUCUGAUUAUGUUAUGGCUUACAUAUUGUAGGCUUUGGACAAGAUUCGCUUUGAGAGCUUGACAGACAAGAGCAAGCUAGAUGCUCAACCUGAACUCUUUAUCCACAUUAUUCCUGACAAGACCAACAAUUCCUUGACUAUUGUGGACAGUGGUAUUGGGAUGACAAAGGCCGGUAAGUUGGAUCAGUUGUAGAAUUAGUUCACGUUUAAAUUGCAUUGCAAAAAUACUCAAACUCAUUUGUAUUGUUGCAGAUCUUGUGAACAACCUUGGUACAAUUGCAAGGUCAGGGACCAAGGAAUUCAUGGAAGCUAUAGCAGCCGGUGCCGAUGUUAGCAUGAUCGGGCAAUUUGGUGUUGGUUUCUAUUCAGCGUACUUGGUGGCUGAGAAGGUUAUUGUAACUACAAAGCACAAUGAUGAUGAACAGUAUGUGUGGGAGUCUCAAGCUGGUGGUUCAUUCACUGUCACCAGGGACACUUCUGGUGAGAGCCUUGGUAGGGGUACAAAAAUGACCUUGUAUCUCAAGGAGGAUCAGCUUGAAUAUCUCGAAGAGCGCAGGCUCAAGGACCUGAUUAAGAAGCACUCAGAAUUCAUCAGUUACCCAAUCUCUCUUUGGGUUGAGAAAACCACUGAAAAGGAGAUCUCUGACGAUGAGGAUGAGGAAGAGAAGAAAGAUGAGGAAGGGAAGGUAGAGGAGGUUGAUGAGGAAAAAGAGAAGGAAGAGAAGAAGAAAAAGAAAAUUAAGGAAGUAUCUAAUGAGUGGUCGUUGGUGAACAAGCAGAAGCCUAUUUGGAUGAGGAAGCCUGAGGAGAUCAACAAGGAUGAAUAUGCUGCAUUCUACAAGAGUCUGACAAAUGACUGGGAGGAACAUUUGGCUGUGAAGCACUUCUCUGUUGAGGGUCAGUUAGAGUUCAAAGCUGUCCUCUUUGUUCCAAAAAGGGCUCCUUUUGACCUUUUUGACACAAAAAAGAAGCCCAACAAUAUCAAGCU